GCCCACUCAAAUAAAAGCCAUUUUGCAUAAAAGCCCCUCAACUUUCCCUCCUGUGCACUGCCCUCACUAGGCAGUUUUCGCGCGGAGGGACCGGUCUCCCCGACUUGGGACCGGUCCCCGAGAGCUUCCCUCGGGCGCACGCGUUCGGGAACCGGUCUCUCCCCGGGAGACCGGUCCUCGGGAGACCGGUCCUCACCUGAGAGACCGGUCCCCAAGAGCUUGAUUUUCAGGACUUAGCCAAUUUUUGGCAUCUCUCGCUGGGACCACGUUCGGGAACCGGUCCCCCCCUACCAGGGACCGGUUGCGUCAUGCAACCCCGCUACAACAAGCCAGGGGAACCGGUCUCUUACUUGCAGAGACCGGUCCCCGAGAGCAACAUCAGCCCAAUGAUGCAAUUUGCCUCAUUUGCUCUCGCGGACUCAACUCCAAGGCACUUUUUGUGCUUUGGACAUUCCCAACUCCCACAAAGGGUAUACUUUUGACAAUUAGUCGAUCCUGGAUGAAGUACAAUCCUCAUAUUUCGAGAAUUCACUUCCUUACAUUACUUUUGUUUAGGUAGUUUUCUCUCUUUUGUGUUUUGUUGAGAGAGAGAGAGAUUUUGUAUCCAUGUAUAAAGACCACCUCUGUAUUACCUUCAGUUUAUGUACUCGGGUUUUGUUAUUGUACUACCUUAUGGUUUUAUUUAGUGGAUCUAGCUCUUUACUUAUUUUCUUUUCCUUGUCAUAGAUACUAGAUGUUGUAUACUCUGAUAUCUCUAGAUCUCUUCGUGUUGUUGCUUUAUUUAUUACCUUAUUGUAGACGCCUUAUAUAUUUUAGACGUAUGGCGGGUCUGGACACGCGCCGGGCGGGCUUCCGCUGUGUCCCGGGGCGUGACAGAUCAUGUCUAUGAUGUUCAUAAUGCUACAAUAAGUGACGAUACAUCUCAUUACUAUUCUAACCAUACAUUAUGCCAAUCAAUAUAAGUGUAACAUACUACCACUAGGGUGUCAAUGCUAACAAUGACUAACAUAAGGUCCACAUAUGCACUAUCAUGCAUAUCCACUAGUCCAACUGAUAUAAAUCAUCUAGUAGUAGUUUUCACAUUACACUUUAGGUUUCGUAGUUCAAUCCUCAUCAUGGAUCUACACAUGUGUAGUCCGGCUUGUGCCGUGCCAAAAAUGGCCCCGUAGUAGUCAACAUUCCCACUCUAGGAAUGAGCCUCCCCCACGGCAUCCCAUUUCAGCGCCCAAUCCCGCACGGGCGAGCUUGUGUCACAUAGGCUAUCUCCGGAGUGCCACCUUGUGGGGAGCGACCCUCACAAGAAUGUGUGAAUGAGCACAAAGGCAAGCAAGCGUGAUCAAUAGUAUCCAACUCUCGGUCAUCAUGUCUAAAAUAUGGAAUAAGUGGCAAUGACCCUAAAGGUCCCAUAUAGUAUUACGAUGUCAAGGUUUAUCAUUUAUUAACCCAAAUGUCACUACAUGACGUUCAUGAUUACUAUGUCAAGUAACAGUCACUAGUUCAAAUGCACACAACCAUUGCCAUUAUCCUAUCUAGGGUAGUUCACUUUUGUCCAAGUCUCAAUGAGAGUUCACACUUAGUCUAUUCCACUAAAGCUAAGGAAGUCACUUUCUUAUGGUGUAUGCAUAGUUACCACUAAUUAUUUAUAAUGCUCAUGAUGCAAGCCAUGCACAUAUAUCUUCCUACCCAUACCUCCACCUUAUGGAGUAAUAACAAUUAUGCGAGUGCUUUCAUUCAAUAAUGCCAUAUGCAAAUAUUCAACUAGAAUGAAUGUUCCAACUUGGUUUCUUAUAGAUCUUACAUGUACUACGUUACCAUGCCCCAACUACUUGCCUACAACAAGUGUGAUAUUGUCAUGCAAAUAUAUGCUAAGUCUCAUUCAUGCACAUGUCUAAGUCAUGUAGUUAUGCUAUCAAUCUCAAGGUCAACACCGUGUUAGUUACUAGGUCACAAUACCCUAUUUUCUUGUCUACACAAGUAUAUUAUUUAAUAUGUAAGAUGAUCACUUUACUAAACCGAUAAGUCGAGAUCCCCUAAGGGUCAUACCAUCAUUCAUGCUCUAACAUGCUUUCUAAGGUUGCAUAAAAGAGAAUUCACCAAAUAGGGCUAAUUCAUGCACAAGCUCACAUAAGAGAUUCUACUACAUAGAGCAUCAAAUUGUCUUUACAUAGCAUAUAUGUAAUGUUUCUCAUAAAUUAUCGCAUGUCAUUUUGAGUAUAAAAAACCAUUUAAUUGGAUCUUAAAACUAAAAGGAGGUUUAGGGGGGAGUUCACCUAUUUUGGUGAGAUCAAACCCAUCGGAAAUACUUCGAACUCUUUCGUAACGCCGAACGAAGUUGUCCCCUAAGAUUCUAGCACCCUAAGAAAAAUUCCAAAGGGGUUAAAAGUUACAAAACAACUACUUCAAAAAUUACACAUACAAGGUGUAAAAUAUACCUUGAGUCAAGAAGAACUUGAUCAAAGCCGAAAUCGAAGCUUGAAAAUUUCAAAUCCAAACUAUAAGAGUGUUCUACACUCAUCAAUUCCAACCCUAAAGCCUCAAAUCAAGAAACCCAAAAUAAAAUUCUAGAUUUCUCAUUUCUAGGUUUUAUCUCAAAAAUUCCACUAAAUCAAGAAUCAAAAUAGGGAAACAUGUUUCUAACCUAUCUAAAAGCUUCAAACAAGACUUGGAAUGAGCUAGGGUUGAAGAUCUCUCCUCCAACAAGCUUUUUACCAAGCUCCAAGCCUUCUCCAAAGGUGCAAAGUCCCCAAAAUGCAAAAUAGAGCAAAGAGGGGAGAUCAAAACCUAAAAUCCCAAGCAAAAAGGGAAGAAAAACUAAGGGAAAAAUAGAGUGGAGCUCACCUCUCCCUUUUCUAGUCGCAGCCCAAAAGCCCUUGUCCAAGGGGUGAGGGUGUAUAUAAGUUAUUGCGACAAAAGCGAAAAGAUCCUUCAAAAACUGCCAGACUGCAGUUUACACUGUGUACCGGUUCACGAAAAAGUGUAUCGUUACAAACUACUGUGCGCGCAAACCCGAGCCUCGGGUUGGCGGAAAACAACCCAUCUAUACCGGUACAAUCAUUAAGGUGUAUCGGUACAAAACCCGUUCCGGUACAACCAUUAAGGUGUACCGGUACACUUUCCUGCAGAGACAAACCCGAGAGCAACCCAAUAAUCUUCACUUUGGAGAUAUUAGUGCUAAGUUUAAACCUCGAUUCUCGAAAUACGAGCCAUAGGUCGGAACACUGUCGACGACCCUCCAGAAAGUCUGGAAAAAACUCAGAUCACAAAUCAAACACUCGAACCUCGCAAUUUGCAAAAGUUUAGUGUGUUACAAUUUGGCUAAAGUCCGGAUUACUUUACCGAAGUUUCGGUAUGUUACAUUCUCCACCCCUUAAAAUUAGUUUCGUCCGCGAAACUAACUUAAUUAACAUCUAGAUUUAUACCUUAAUCCAGAUUCUCGAAGAGAUGGGAAUAAUGCUCUCUUAUUGCACUCUCGAGCUCCCAAGUAGCUUCCCGAUCAUCGUGGUUCUUCCAACAAACUUUAACAUAUGAAAUCUCACGGAUUCCUAGUUUUCUUACUUCUCGAUCGAUGAUGUACGUCGGGAACUCUUCAUAAGUCAUAUCCUCUUGAAUCUCGGACGGUUCAAAUGAGAGAAUAUGCUUGGGAUCGUGAAUAUACUUGCGGAGAUUCGAUACAUGAAACACAUCGUGCACUCCCGCAAGCCUCGGUGGUACUGCUAACUUGUAUGCCACCGUGUCAACACGCUCCAAUAUCUCGAACGGUCCAACGUACCGGGGACUUAGUUUUCCACGGACUCCAAACCGUUUAACUCCCCACAUUGGGAUAUUUUUAGGAGUACGCUGUCUCCAACUGCAAACUCUAUAUCCUUUUUUCGCUUGUUGGCAUAGCUCUUUUGCAAGAAUGCGCCGUAGCAAGCCGUUGGCGGGCAAGGCGAACUUUCUUCUCCGCCUCCCGCACCAUAUCUGGGCCAAGAGUAACUCUCUCGCCCACAUCGCUCCAAUGAAUUUGAGAGCGACACUUCUUUCCAUAAAGGGCCUCGAAUGGCGCCAUCGCGAUAUUUCCUUGAUAACUAUUAUUGUACGCGAACUCCGCCAUCGGUAAAUGAUCAUGCCAUCCGCCCUUGUAGUCAAGUACACACGCUCGAAAUAUGUCCUCAAGUAUUUGUAUCAUCCUCUCCGAUCGACCAUCACUUUGAGGAUGAAAUGCCGUACUAAAAUCGAGCCGUGUGCCCAACGCAUCCUGUAGGCUCCUCCAGAAGUGAGAUAUGACCCUCGGGUCUCGAUCCGAUAUAAUAGACACGGGAACCCCAUGAAGUCUCACUACCUCGUCGAGAUAGACUUGAGCCAUCUUAUCUCCCGACCAUGUAGUAUGAAUCUAUAAAAAGUGCGCCGACUUCGUCAAUCGGUCUACUAUCACCCAAAUUGCAUCGUGUCCGCCUUGAGAUCGAGGCAAUCCGGUCACGAAAUCCAUUGUGAUAUUUUUUCAUUUCCAAACGGGUAUAGGUAGGCUUUGCAACUUUCCUACCGGAAACCGGCGCUCCGCCUUGACUUGUUGGCACGUAAGACAUUCUGCUACAAAUUCCCCAAAGUCUUUCUUCAUGCCCGGCCACUAAUAGUAUACUUUCAAAUCUUGAUACAUCUUGGUGCCGCCGGGGUGAAUACUAUAAGGAGAUUGGUGCGCUUCUUGUAUAAUCGCCUUGCGAAUGUCCUCAUUUUUAGGCACACACCAACGAUUUCUAAACCGGAGUGCGCCGUCGGUCCCAAUGCCAAAAUCAUCUACACUACCGCUCUCAACAUCACCCUGCAUCUUUUGGACAUAAGGAUCAGUAGCUUGUAGAUCUUUAAUCUUCUCCAACAAGGUGGGUUGAACCACCAAUGCCGCAAGUGUUGCUGGCAUUCCUGAAGCUACUACCUCAAGACCAAGUCGUUACAUCUCUUUUUGCAAUAAUGGUUGAGGUGUAAUUGCUGAAGCCAAGUUUUCUCACGAUUUUCUACUAAGUGCAUCGACCACGACAUUUGCCUUCCCGGUUGGUAUAAAAUAGUAACGUUGUAAUCCUUUAAUAGCUCUAACCACCGCCGUUGUCGCAUAUUUAACUCCUUUUGGGUGAACAAGUAUUUAAGGCUCUUGUGAUCCGUAUAGAUCUCACAAUGUUCACCGUACAAGUAAUGCCUCCAUAACUUUAGCGCGAAAAUAACCGCCGCUAGCUCAAGGUCAUGAAUCAGGUAGUUCUUUUCAUAAUUCUUCAAUUGGUGCGAAGCAUAAGCUAUAACUCGCCUAUUUUGCAUCAAGACACACCUGAGACCAACAUAGGAAGCAUCACUGUAUACCACAAUACUCUCCCCCGGCGUCGGUAAGGCAAGCACCUGGGUCGAUGUCAAUCUCUUCUUUAAUUCCUCGAAGCUCCGAUCGUAAUCAUCGCUCCAAACAUACUUAACUCCCUUGUGCGUGAGGCGCGUUAGUGGAGUGGUUAUUUUGGCAAACCCCCCCAUGAACCACCGAUAGUAACCCGCAAGUCCAAGAAAGCUACGGACCUCCGCAACACUUGUCGGGCGAGGCCAAUCUUUAAUUGCCUCUACUUUUUUCGGAUCCACCAAAAUGCCAUCACCCGAAAUCACGUGGCCUAGGAAAGUGACUUAUGAAAGCGAAAACUUGCACUUCUUUAAUUUUGCAUAUAGCUUCUAUUUUCGGAGUAUUUCCAACAUGGUCCUCAAAUGCUCCUCGUGUUCUUCCUCACUCCGUGAAUAAACUAACACGUCGUCAAUAAACACCACGACGCACCGGUCUAGCAACGGUCGAAUGACCCGAUUCAUCAAGUCUAUAAAUGCUGCCGGGGCAUUAGUAAGCCCAAACGGCAUAACCAUGAACUCAUAGUGGCCAUACCGCGUACGGUACGCCGUUUUGUGCACGUCCUGGGGCCGUAUCUUCAACUUAUGAUACCCCGACUGUAAGUCGAUCUUUGAGUACACCCUCGACCCUUGCAAUUGAUCGAACAAAUCAUCAAUCCUCGACAACGGGUACUUAUUUUUAAUUGUCACUUUAUUCAACUCGCUGUAAUCCACGCAGAGUCGUCACUUUAUUCAACUCGCGGUAAUCCACGCAGAGUCGAAAUGUGCAAUCCUUCUUCUUUCCAAAUAGCACCAAAGCUCCCCACGGUGACACGCUCGGCCUCACAAAGCUUUUAUCGAGCAAGUCUUGCAAUUGUGCCUUUAGCUCUCUUAGCUCUGUCGGAGCCAUUCUAUACGGAGCCUUCGAAAUUGGCGCCGCCCCGGGAAUCAAAUCAAUAACGAAUUUGAUCUCCCGGUCCGGUGGCAAUCCCGAUAACUCCGCCGAAAAUACAUCCGAAAACUCGCACGACAACUGAAUAUCACUAAGUUCCGGGUGCUCCUUUUGGGCUUCUACCAUUGUCACCAAAUAGGCUUCACAUCCACCCUUAAUCAUUUUUCUCGCCCUCGUCACCGAUACGGUCACCGCGAAGCGUGAGCUUUUACAUGCCUAAUAUACCAACUCUUCCUGAUUAGGCUCACGAAAUGUGAUCACCUUGCUUUUACAAUCUAUCACGGCAUAAUACUUGGAGAGCCAGUUGAUCCCUAAGAUUACAUCGAAUCCCUACAUUCGCUCUAGCACUAGUAGAUCUAUCAGCAUAAUCCAAUCACCGAUCUGUACUGGACAAGCCAAGCACUCAUCAUGAAUAUGAAACGAAUGCUCUGGAGCAUUUACCCACCAAUAAUCCUGAUUAUACGUGAUCUCCAUGCCAUGAGUUUUUGCAAAUGAUGCACCUAUGAACGAAUGUAAUGCACCUGUGUCGAAUAAAGCUCUAGCUCUAGUGCCUUUAAUCAAAAUUAUACCUGCCACGACAUCAUCUGGUGCUACAGGUUGCUCCUCCAUCUGAGUGGCAAAACCCGCCCACUCGGUGCUCUAGAUGUCUCCGGUUGACGCGAUGCAGAUGAGCGUCCAGCCGACAUCGCUGGGGGCAACCCCGCAAGCUAUCUCAGGGUGGAAGGAACUAAUGCCGCUGUCGGUGCAAACGAUCCCCAACUAGGGCACUCCUAGGCCAUAUGCCCCGGUUGAUCGCACUUGUAACACUUUCCUUCACGCUGCGGGCAGGUCGGCGGUCGAUGCUCACCGCCGCAAAUGAGUAGCGUGUGAGGUGGGUUAAUCAUCGGUUUGACUCCUAUGGGUUAUAUAGUCGACAUGUAUUCGGCACGUGUUUUUGCCUAUCGUAAUUGCUCUAUUCAUUGUUCAGCAUGAUUGAAAUAUGAAUUGGAGCUUAGUAUAUUGACUGUAGAUUCAUACAUAUUGGACUUGGAUAUAACAUAGGAGAAAACCAGUGAUUUGGACCUGUCACCUGCUUAACUACCGGAUUUAGCUUUAGGAGCCAUUGUUAUUUUGUAUCGCCGUAGUAUCAGCGUGGUAGAUACCCCAGAUAGUUUAGAUUACUAUUAUGCUCGUGAUGGGAUGCCAAGCCUAUUUUUACAGUAGUGUUUAGACUAUUCCGGAUUGUUGGAUGCUGUCGAGAUUGACGGUGGACCCAGAUUGCCAUUUUAGUAUCAGAUUAUGCUGAAGGCACGUGACUUGUUAGUUGGUAGACUAGUUGGACCCUGUGUACUUGACUAUAGCCUGCGAGAGCCUGAUUGAGCUCGACAGAGAUACGCUUGCAUACUCGGUUGGGUAGCGCCCAUGAGUGCCACUCCGGAGUCGGGCUUAGUGCUUCUGCGUUGAUGUCGAGGUGUCCUGUUUGGACUUGCUAUCCACUGACUGCUUAGUGUGGAGGUAGCUUUAGCUUCGACAGGAGAGACGGGCGUGUUCACAGUCCCUGGGACGGGUAUGAUUACAGUCCCGAGUGAGAUUGGGUCAGGUAUGACAUCUUCUACAGACUGUUAGUGUUAGAGCAUGAUAGUAUAGUGAUUUUUAGUUGUAGAGUUGUUCCAGCAUUAUUUAGUAUCCCACCUACCUUCUGUAGACUUAGUGGGUGGACCGAUGAUGUUGAGGGUGGCACCCACUAAGGACUACAUGUCUUUACAAUAGUUCUCACGCCCAGUUGCUAUUUGCUUUUGCAGAGCCUUCGGUUCCGGCUGCUGCAUCGUCCGAGAUAGAGCGUGGUAAGGGCGUUGCGAGUUAGAGCCCUACCAAACGAGCCGCCGAGUAGCACCAGCUACAGGUAGUUGUAGUUUUUGACUUCCUAUACAUACUGUUGUUGUAUCUCGCUUGGCGAGCUUUUGUUUACCGGAUGUUGUAUGUAUAGUGAACUUUAUUUUUCUAUCUGGUUAUACUUUGGCUAGCAGCUCUGUAGUGUUCCUGAGCUUUGGAUAGGAUUGGCUUCAAUAUUAGUGACUGGUCGACAUCUCUGGAGAGUGUCGAACUAAGUCGGAGUCAAUUCCGCACGAAUUGGAUGCAGAAUUGGACUCGACGCACUCAAUUAAGCAAAACUGGAGUUUUGCCAGUUUCGGGCGCCCAGAACAUUUUUAGGGUCGCCCAGAAACGAGUGUUGAAUUUAACUGAAACUGGAGGCCAAUUCGGAUCCCAUGUUCCGGGUGCCCAGAUGUGGGUCCGGAAAUUCGACAUCGUGAAUAUCGCUUGCUUCGAUGCGUGGCAGGCGGCAGGUGAGUUCCGCCGGAGCCAUUUACGGGCGCAGCACACCGUGAGCAGAGAGUCCGAGGAGCCCGUUUUGUGCAAGCUGGAUGUUCUGGUCGCCCAAAACAUGGUUCCGGGCGCCCAGAAACGCCCGUUUCUGCAGGGACACUGGAUAGCAGCUUCAGUUCCUGAGGCUUUUUGGAUCAUUCUAACUCACUAUAAAUACUUGGUAAACACCCCUUUGCUGCUCUUUUCCCCCCUUCUUCACAGAGAAGUCUCUUUUAGCAUCUCUACCCUCGGAUUUGCCUCAAAUUGCAUUAAACUUCCAUUGAUCCAGCUUGAUGGAGUGCUGAUUCUGUAGUUCUUCAGCGACGACCUCCAGUGUUUUGGCUCGUGCGCGAUGUAGGAAGGUCGGAUUUCGACGAAACUUGGUUUGCUGGAUUCUAGACUUCCAGAGGAAUCUACGAAGCCCUGAAUGGUAGAUUUUGGUUGAGGUUAGCUUGGUCGAACUGAGGUUUUUCUAGACUACUGUUGGCUUUGAGCUGAAAAUAGAAUUUUUGAGCUUUUCUUGAUGCUAUCUUUGUUGGCAGUGGAAUUUUGGACCUGAGUUUGAUCACCCCUCAGUAUUUGCUGAUUUUGGAACUGUUCUCACCUGAUUUGGAGAUCAUUAGGUGAGUUUUGACAUUGGAAUUGAGAAAUCCUAAGCUUAAGGCUAAAAUUGAUGAAUUUUAUUGGAUUUUGGAUGAAUUGUUAUAUCCAGAUCUUGAUGGGCUUUGUUGCUGGUUUGGAGGAGUUUCCAGCAGUGUUGCUUGUGAUCCGAGACCCUCUUGCUGCCAGGAGUUUCACUAGAGGUGGGUUAUCAUCGGUUUCGCUCCUAAGUGCAUGUUUAGUCGACGUGUAUAGUUCGAUUUUUGUAUAUCAUGCUUUAAUUCAUCGAUUAGCAUCUUGAAUGUAAUAUGAAUGUAGAAGCAUGCUGAAAUGAAUAUUUAUAUUAUACAUGUUGGACUUGAAAUUUGACUUAGGAGAAAACCUGCGUUUUGACCCGUCAUAUGUUUAAACUACCAGAUUUAGCUCUAGGAGCCGAGAUUCGAUUGUAUCGUUGCAGUAUUAGUGCGAUGGAUAUCUGGGGUAGUUUAGAAGGCAUUUACGCUCGUGCUGGGAUGCCGAGCUUAUUUUUCAGCAGAGUUUAGGCUGUUUCGGGUCGUUGGGUGCCGUUCGGGUUAGCGGUGGACCCAGAUUCUUGUUUUGGUCACAGAUUGUGCCGAGGGCACGUGGGUUUGGUUUGUAGGCCUGUUUUUACCCUGUUCACUUGACUUUGGCUAAUUGGAGCCUGUUUGAGCUCGACAUAGAUACGCUGCAUACUCGGUUGGGUAGCGCCCACGAGUGCCACUCCGGAGUUAGGCUUUGUGCUUUCGCGUUGGUGUCGCUCAUGCCGGUUGGACUUACUCUCCACGGACCAGUUAGUGUGGAUAGAGCUGGAUAGUCGCAACUCGGCAGGGACGGGUGUGUUCACAGUCCCAGGGACGGGUAUGUCUACAGUCCCGAUUGGAUUGGGUCAGAUUGGACAUUUCCUACAGUUGGUUAGUGUAGAGCAUGAUAGUGUAGUGUUUGAUAGCGGUAGAUUUUAUUCCUGCAUUUACUACUAUUCUUGCUCCCUUCUAUAGACUUAGUGAGUGGACCGAUGUUGUUUUGGGCGGUACCCACUGAGGACUACUUGUUUUUACAGUAGUUCUCACGCCCUGUUGUUACUUCAUUUUUGCAGAGCCAUCGUCUUCGGCUGCUGCUAUUGCUGAUAAGGAUCGAGGCAAGGGCGUCGCGAGUUAGAGCCCUACCCGACGAGCCGAGCUAGGGGUGCCCUACUACAGGUAGUAGUUUUGUUGGAGUUCAUGUACUUACCUACCUUUAACUCGCCAGUGCGAGUAGUUUUUGUGUAUCUUGGAUUUUGGGGUAUGUAUAUGGAACUCAGUUGGUUUUCUCCGUUUCUCCUAACCAGCUCUAUACUACUGUUUGUAGUAUUGUUUGAUUUACAGAUACAGCUAUCGCUUCGUAUACAGGAAAAAUUCCUUUGUAUACGGCGGAUUUGUCGGCGCGCCCGGGGAACGUGUAAUCCGGGGCGUGACAAGCUCUAUACUACUGGUUGUAGGAUUGUAUAUUUUACAGGUACAACUAUCGCUUUGUAUACAGGAGAAAUUUCUUUGUAUACGGCGGAUUUGUCGGCGUGCCCGGAAAAUGAGUAAUCCGGGGCGUGACAAUAUAUAUAUAUAGUAAAGGUACUAUGCUAUCGGAAGUAUAAAUUAGUUGGUACUUUCGAUUUUUUAGCCCUUGGAUCAAAAAUUAUACGGUUGGGAUGAUAGCAGUCCCCUUAGAGUUGAGUGGUCCCCCUAGGGUUGAGCGGUCCUCAUUGGUCAAUAAUAUUAAUCCAAUGGUUAGAAUAAUCAAUGGAGUUGAUCUAAGGGCUAAAAAAUCAGAAGCACCAACUAGUUUAUAUUUUCGAUAGCUUAGUAGCUCUUCUAUAUAUAAAUAUAUAUAUAUAUAGAGAGAGAGAGAGAGAGAGAGAGAGAGUUGAGCUAGAUCUCUAAAGCACAUGAAGGUAGGUGCUUUUGAAAGAGAUAUUUAGUUCAAUAAUAUAUAUAUUUAUUAUAUACUUAUACUUUAUAUAUAUAUAUAUAUAUAUAUACUAUAGUCGUCUCCGAUACUUUCGAACAAGUACGGGAGGCCCGGUGCUUGUAAGUUGUUUUCGAUGACUAGGACCGUUCCGAUUCGCACGAUCGCUCGUUAGGCUCAUGAUCUUCCUAUUGAGAACUAUCUAGAAUCAAUUUAGAUUUUUUUGACAGUAUUUACUAGCCGAUCAAAGAGUCUAAAAUGAUUUUACGGCGUGUGGAAUUUUUAAUGUGUCAACGGCUUGUUAGAGAGUAUCCAAUAUUACAUGAAUUUAAUAAAAAUUUACUUAAUCAAAGUAGCCGAUAUCAUUUCGAUGUAAAUUUGAAUCUUUUAUCACUUUUUUAUGAGAUUUGUUCAUUUUCUAGCGUUCAUUUUUGGUAACUGUUCCUAGACGCACAAACCGAAAUCAAAAAUAUAUGAAUUUGGUUUUCUAGUAGUUCGCUCCAUGGAUGUAAGUUUUAACAACUGAUCGCUGAAUCGAGAACUGUCCACAUUCAACAAGAUUAACAGAACGGGCCACAGCCCAUCCGCGUUACUUUCGACGCAUAGGAGCCUAGCUCUGUUAUUCUCUAUCUUUCUCUCUCUUAUAUUAUAUAUAUAUAUAUACUAGUUAUAGUCAUGUGCAAUGCCCGUCACAUUUAAUUAAAUUAAAGUUAUAUUUAUAUUUUAAAUUUAAAUAAUUAUUGAUAGUAUUAGUCUAUUUAUCAAUUAAUUUUUUUCUAACUUAAAUUUUUUUAAUUUGUAUCCAAAUUUAAAAAUUUGAAGUAAUUCUAAAUUUUAAAUUAAUGAAUUCAUAUUUAAAUUUAUGAACAAAACUCAAAAUUUGAAGUUAAUUUUGAGUCCAUAUUUGAAUAUAAAUGGUUAUAGAGACAUUGAUUUAUUUAACAUCCCAUCUAUUUUUCAAAUUUGAUAUAUUUUUAAGUUAAUUAAUUAUUUUCAAUUUGAAAUACUAUUUACACACCCAAAUAUUGAAAUUUGAAUUAAUUUCAAAUUUUGAAUAAUUUAAAAUUUAAAGUUGAUUUGAUAAACUUAUUUAAAUCAUUCUAUUUUUCAAACUUAAUUUUCUUUUAGUUAGUUAAUUGAGAGAUAGUGAAUACUAAAUAUUUUCAAUGUGAGUUGCGUAGAAUUUUUUUUUGAUGAGUAUGGAAUAUUUUUUUAUGGGGCACUUGUGAAAAAUAUUCAACAGUAGAUAUUUUUAGAUUGACAUAAAGUUGGAUAAGUAUGAAUUUUUUUUAUAUUCUCGUAAAUGAAAUGCAAUAUUUUUUCCUAUUAAAAAAAGGUCUGUCAACAGCUAUUUUAUUAAUAAUCCCAAAUCAAUAUAAAUUUGUGAAUCACAUUUAUUUACAAAUUUAAAAUUUUAAAUUAUAAAUUCUUAUAUUAUAUUUUAUUAAAAAAUAUCUCAUAUUUUAAAUAUUAGUAGAUAAAAUUUAGAUAAUUUUUAUAUAUUCACCUUUAAAAAAAUAUAAUUAAAUAUUAUAUAUGCGGAAGGUAUUAUGUGAUAGGAUAUUAUGUAGGCCGUAUUACGUGUGAGAAAGAAAAUAUUUAAAAAAUUCUUAAAUUGCAAAUAUUAUUUAUGAUAAAAAAUAGAUAUUACGUGGGCUACGGUUAUUAGAAGAUAAGGUGCGCAUAUAAAAUGUAAAAUUCAAUAUGCACUUUUUGAGGGCAAUUCAGAUAAAAAAAGUGACAGAUACUUAAAUCGUCAACUAUUGGAUUAAAUUCGAAGACUAAGAAUUAAUAUAUUUUAUGAUAAUUUAAAAAUAAAAUAUAAAUUGUACGGUUAUGAUUUAUUCUAUUAAACUUGAAUGAAUGAUAUUGCUAGUAUGCGAUUGGAAUUAUAUUAAUAGGGAGCGAUAUUUUGGGAAAGAAAAAAAUUUUAAAACUUGCUCUUUUAUAAGUAGUAUAUAUAUAUAUAAUAUUUACUAAGGAUCUAGGAUACUUUUACAAGCUAUCCAUCCCCAUCUUAUUGCUAUUCAACUUUUUAGCCAUUGGAGUCUACUUUUGUUUACAAAUAGCCCUUGGAUCAAACACUAUUCCACCUACCACCACCCUACCACCUACCUACCACCCAUCUAUCCAACCUUUCACAUCUUCUCCAUCCAAGGCUAAAAACACACAAGUACCACUGGCUGAUACUUGUAACAAGUAUUCUACCCUACUCAUAACUAUAUAUAUAUAUAUACUGCUCUAUAUAUAAUAUGACUACAUACUACGGUAUACUAUGAUAUAUAUAUAUAUAUCAUAUAUAUAUAUAUAUAUAUUAAUUACUAUAUUAUAGAUCACAGUGGGUUUAACGGAGCCCGAUCCGACGAUUUCGAAGUCGCAAGAUCGAAACGAGCCUGGAGCACGGAAGGCUCCAGUGCUUCCGAUCAUAUAUGGUCUCCGUGCUUCCGAUAAUAAUACUAGAUGUAGGUCUACUAUACCUUAUCGUAAGCACGGAGCCUUUCCGUGCGUUCCAGCUCGUUUCGCAUCUUGCGACUUUCCAAUCCGUCCGAUCGGCCUCCCUUACACACUUUGAUCUAGACGUAUUGAAGUACCCUACGAAAUAAAUUUACUGACUUUCUACGAUAUAUUUGCUUACGUGAACGCAAGGGCGCUCAAAAUCAACGGCUACAAAUAAAAAUCCUUACAUAAAAUGUAAUAUGAUGACACUUAAACAUUUUAACAAAGAGGGUCAUUGAUCUUCGUUCUAUACCUACUGUCAAAAAAUUUUUCUAUCAAAAUUUCACGCCGACUUCUGGAUAUCUUUUAACACCCGUUAAAACUUGCAAACGGCUCACCGCGCCAUGCUACAAUUUGUUGAUUUGAGUCCCAUUCGCAUCACUACGGCAAAUGAUCAAUCCGAAAGAAUAAUAAAUUUAUUUUCUAGUACUCCCAAACUACUCUAAAUCAAGCUUUAACGAGCCGAUCCCGACGAAUUCGAAAGUCGCAAGAUCGACAACCGAGCCGCGAAGCACGUAAGGCUCCGUCGCUUCCGAUUAGCAAUAGUAGCCUCACUCUAUACUAUAUACUAUUAUAUAUAUAUAUAUAUAUAUAGUAUUCUAGCCUAUCAAUCUCAACCCAUACCCGCUAGUGCUCGCGGAUUACACGCAAAUUUGCGGGUAUAGACACCAAUUUUUUCAACCUAAAAAAUUACAGAUAAAAAAUUAUGAAACUAUAUUCGUUUAGUGUCAAAUGAAUCCUCUACCAUUUUAGUAGCAAUAGGAAAUUAAUUUGAAAUACACACAAAUAUCCUCGAAGCCCCUAUGGUGGGCAAAACCCAAGCUUUGCUCGACGCGGUACUCAACCACCACCCACCCUCCUUCCCUCUCCUUUUUCCCCGAGUCCAACAAACGUUUUAAAUGUCCCAAUCAAUUCAUCUCUCUCUCUCUCUCCCUCCAUUACCCCGUCCCACCUCUCAUUUCUCCGCUCCAAAAGUUAAUCAUACUCCACACACCUCCAAAAUAAGAACCAUCCACCUCCUACCCCCUUAAUUCCCCUAUAUUUUUAAAGUUCGUCAAGAACCAUCCACCUCCUACCCCCUUAAUUCCCCUAUAUUUUUAAAGUUCGUCUCUCUCUCUCUCUCUCUCUCUCUCUCUCUCUCUCUCUCACUCUAAUUACUUCUUGCGUUAUAAUACGUUAUGCUUGAGUGAGACUAACUCUUUCUUGGCUCCCAUCUUGCUCUCUCCUUUCUCUUUGUGGACUCUUGUACGUAGUGGUUGUGAGCUCCCCCACCAAACAAGCCAAAUAAUCCCGAUCGAGAAGGCACCCAACUCACUACGUACCUCCUCUUCACUUGGGAAGAAGAAAGAGGGGGAGGGGGAGGGGGAGGGAGAGGAGACGGAUCAAGGUGGAAAUGGGCGGCGAGAGGAAGAAUUCGCUUCUUACUCUCGCCGGGCGGGUGCUGAAUUGUGCGGUGAGCUUUGUCGUGUUCUCCGUACUCGACGUUCUCGAUAUAAUCCUCUGCAUUGUCUACAAGCUCAUCGAUUAUGCCGUUGAGGCCGAGUGGAAGCCGUGCUACUGCUCGGCCUCCAAGGACAUGGUUGCCGGCAGCGGCAGCGGCAGCGGAGGCGGGCCAAAGGUGGUGCGGCUCUGCUCGUCGAAGCUCCAGCUGGAGGACGUCUCCGACACGCUGUACGCGCGUCCUUCAGUCGUCAUGGACGCUGCGAGGAAGGCGGGAACCACCGGCAGCGGCGCAUCAGUUGUCGUGAGCCCGGCACCGGCUGCGCCGACGUUCCGGGUCAGCACUGGUGUUGCGGAGAUGAUCCGAGGGAAGAUCGACCGGCAGCGGCCUACGCGGCCGGUGCCCUGCUGGUCCGACUGCUGCUGUAAGAUCUGCAAUUCGUGGAGCACCGCCGCGACCCCUUCCCAGCUUUACGUUCACGUGGAGGGCCCAAGAGGUAAAUGCUGCAUGCCCGAUCGAGUUAGGAUCCGGCCGGUAAAACGCAAACGGUAGUGUAAAUUUUAAAAACCUUACUUUUACCAACUAUAUAUAUAGUCGAUCGGUUUAGAAAUGAAAAAAAAUGCAUAUUGGUACGUAGUUAAUGAUCAAUGAAUUUGUGAUAUAUAUAUAUAUAUAUAUAUAUAUAUAUAUAUUGAAUCGAGAAAUGUGCACGCACAGUAUUGUCAUGCAUCUUUUUAAGUUUUUAAACACGUACUACUAGUCUGUAUAAUUUAAUAUAUUUAUCAAAAAAGAUUAUUGUUCUCAUUUUUAUCGGGCGAAAUAGCUAGUAGAUAAUAAUUUUUAAAAACAUUUUUAAAAGUGAAAAAUUUUAAUUAUUUUUUAAUUUCAUUUCUUAUUGCGAGAUGUAGUAUUUUGGAUGAAAAAAUCAAGCGUCUUAUCUAAAAGUUUACCAGGAGGUCGAACACGGGCAGCGUGCGUAAUGCAUGUGCUUAAUCCAACUAAACUAAAUGACGUCAAUGUUAUACGUACGUACAUUUUAAUUUGAAGAUUAUGUCGUCAUUAAAAUAUUUAUUUGGUGUUCCGGAGGGAAUAUAUAUAUAUAUAUAUAUAUAUAUAUAUGCUACAGAAAUUUUGCUCAUUAAUUAAUUUGCACAGAUGGUACGCAAUCUCGUAAUAUUAUUAUUUUGCGACUAUUAAUUAAAAUUGCCGAUCGACUGAUGAGUGGGCGUGCAUUAACGAAAUUGAGCAGACGGGGCGGCGGUGCCGGCGACGGAGGACGUGGUGUUCAUCCACGGAUUCAUCUCGUCGUCGACGUUCUGGACGGAGACGGUGUUUCCGGCAUUCAGCGAGCUGACAAAGUCGAGGUACCGCCUCUUCGCGAUCGACCUGCUGGGGUUCGGGCGCAGCCCGAAGCCGACGGACUCGCUGUACACUCUGCGGGAGCACCUGGAGAUGAUCGAGAAGUCGGUGCUGAAGCGGUUCGAGAUCGGGAGAUUCCACCUGGUGGCGCACUCGCUGGGGUCGAUCCUGGCCCUGGCGCUGGCGGUGAAGCACCCGGAGGCGGUGCGGUCGCUGACGCUGGUGGCGCCGCCCUACUUCCCGGUGCCCAAGGGGGAGGAGAGGGCGGCCGGGCAGUAUGUGAUGCGGCAGGUGGCGCCGCGGAGGGUGUGGCCGGCCAUCGCGUUCGGGGCGUCGAUGGCGUGCUGGUACGAGCACGUCAGCAGGACCAUCUGCCUGACCAUCUGCAAGCACCACCGCCUGUGGGAUCUGCUCUUCCGACUGCUCACCCGCAACAGGUAUGUAUGUGUGCUCUCAGCCAAUUACACACACCUAGCUAGCACUUAAUUAGCACUUGCCUUGCCUAAUUCCCUUUCCCUUUCCCUUUCCGUUUCCGUUUCCCUUCCUCUAGCUGUGCGUUGUGUUUGCUCUUUCUUCCGUCUCCAACCGUUUCGGUGGCUCCGCUUUUAUUAUUCUCGCCUCGUAUUUAUUCCUUCCCACGUUAUUGGCUUCUCACCCUCUAUUUUGCGCUCCACGUGCCCGGUCCCACAUAAAUAACAACCUGUUUAAUUCGUCCAACACUAGUGCUGCAGGUACACACAAUAUCGACGGAAGAAAAAUGCUACUAGCUAGCUAGCUAUAUAAGGUUAGAAUCAAAUCAAAUCAAAUCAAAUCAAAUCAAAUCAAAUUCGCAUGGUUGGAUUAAUGUGAUCCCUCUUAUUAAUUAAUAUUUAUUUAUUUUAUUUAUUUAUUUAUCACCUCUUUAAAUAUAAAAAUAUAAUAUAAUUAAAUUCAGCAAUACAACAAUUAACGACGUUUUAAUUAAGAGAGAUAUUGCGGAAAAAUCCAAAGCAUUUUUUCCUUUGUCUCGACGAAUAUUAAUUUAUAUAGAAGAUUCCAAAAUAUUAUUUUUCUAAACUGUUGAUGGGCAAGUUGAGAUGCAUGGUAUAUAAGAUUUUGUUUAAUGUAUACAUGCAAUUUUAAUAUAUAUGCUGUAUAUAUAUAUAUAUAUAUAUAUAUAUAUAUAUAUGAUGUUAGCAGAUAUAUAGCAAUGCGGCAAUAUAUAUAUAUGGUUCCCUUUUCCUGAUUCAAAAGUUAAACGGUGAUAUAUCGAUUGCAUGUCGCUAAUUAAAAACUAGCUAGCUAGCUAGUAUAAUAUAGUUAGUUUAAAUCACCGGCCGAUCGAAUUAGUAAAAUUUUGAAUCAUGUACAUUUUAAGCACCUGUCGACUUUGGCUUUAACAAUCAUCGUAUGAUAUGAUUUUUUGUAGUUAUUGCCAAAUCGAUCAUACUUGUGAGCCGCCCGCUCCGUUUGAAUUAAAUGGUAGACAGCACCAAAUAAUUAAGAAGUUAUUGGAAUUCAUUUGAUAUUUUAUUCUCUCACCCACACAGUAGCAAAUUCGGUUUUCCCCGUGGGGCCACUGAGUAUAUAUAAGGUCUGCUUUAUCUGUUUUGCCUCUGGUUUCAAUGGCAACAAUAAUUACCGUGCUUGAUAAAAAAUAAUUAAAAAUUCUGCUGUAGACAGAAAAUUUUGAGCCUCCAAACAAGAAAUUCCGACUGAUACUUUCGAUUAUAUAUACGCGACACUAACUGAAUGUAAUAGUUAUAUGUAUAUAUUAUUAUAUAUAUAUAUAUAUAUAUAUAUAUAUAUAUAUAUAUAUAUAUAUAUGAAAUAUAAUAGGAAUAAAUCUUUUAAUCAGGUUAUAGCAUUUUAGGUGAUUGUUACGCCCAAAUGGUUAAGAAAAAUUAAACGUGCUAGGGUUAGAAUAAUCAUAGAAUGUGUGACGCCCUAGAAAAUGGGGUAUUACAGUGGGUAUUAGAGCCAAUUACCAGCCGAAAAUAUUAGAUAAAUGUCGGCUGAGCCAAAAUUAUAUAGCGAGCUCAUCGGCAGAUCAUAGUUGUGGGUGGAGCACGACUCCCCACAAGGUCAAACGAGACCCCACAAGGUCAAAUGAGAUGAGUCUCAAAUCGCCUAUUGCUUGUGAAUAUGUUUAAGCCUAUCGAGAACGUCGAUAUAAUAGCACUGAAAUAGUUUUAUAUAUGAGAUAUAAUAAAAUAAGAUCAUUUUACCCGAAUAUAGCAUUUUAGGAGUGGCUAGCUAGGUUAAUUUAAGAGAUUAGGAGAUUUAAGCAUGCUAGGACUAAAUGGGCGACUCAUUGGAAAGUGGGGCAUAAUAGUUGAGGAUUGUGGAUCUAAAGUUUCAAUUUUGUUUGUGUCCAAAAGUUAUAAUUUUUUUCCUUAGAAUUUAUUUUAUUUUAUUUUUUGAGUUUUAAUAUUAAAGAAUAUUUUGGAUGAAGUUAAAAUUAAUAUGUGAUAACAGAUCAAGAACUUUGUAGCAAGAAACAGUUGGAAAGUUCCCUAUUAAAAUUUUAUUAAUUAGUUUUUUAGUUUCCCCCGCCCUUAUUUUGAACGGCAGCUUACGAGCUGUCAGAGCCGCGAAGAAAUCGAUGGCCUGACAUAUAUGGUAGGAGUACGUUACGUUUACUUUGCGUAACGACCUCUGAGGUCCUGCCGUGGGAGUGCGGGACGUCGGGUACGAAAUGCGGGAAACAGCUUCGGGUUUCGUACCACCGCGAUCGAGUAGGAAAACCAAGUCAAAUUUUCCACAUAUAUAUCAGGUAGGUUAAUUUCUAAUUGGGAGACGUUAGAUCGAGGAAAAAUUCUAGAAUGCAACGGGUAUAUUAGUGACGUGGCGUAACAAACCAAUCAAAUUAAUUCUUUUAAAAAUAUAUGUCCCAUCAUGAUUGUAAAAAAGUAUUUUUAUUGUAUUUUUGUUUGAAAAGAAGGAAUGUGAUUGGCUUGUUAUUGAUGACGUGGUGCAAGUGUGACAGUGUAGAAUUCCUCUAGAUCGAGACACGUAAAAAUAAGUAAUAACCGAAAGUAAUGUCAGUGGAAACAUAUAUAUAUAUAUAUAUAUGUAUAUAUAUAUAUAUACACAUAUAUAUAUAUAUACAUAUAUAUAUAUAUAUAUAUAUAUAUAUGAUAUAUAUAUAUAAUAUAGAGUGGGCAUAUAUAUUAUAUAUAGAGUGAAGUGAGGCUACUAUGCUAUCAGAAGUCGGAGCCUUCCGUGCUUCCAGCUAGUUUUUGAUCGUUGCACUUCGAAUUGUCGAUCGGUCUCCGUUAAACUUGAAUUCUAUGAGUAUUUGGGAGUACCUACAAUAAUGCGAUAUGGUGCGUUUGCUUCGUUUAACGGAUAGAAGAGCUUCAAAUCAACUAAAAUUUUUUGUUUAAAAAAUCUUUUUAAACUUUUAAAAUAAAAACGAUCUAGACUCUAGAUCCAAAUAUAAAAAAUUGUAUUAUCACUUUUUUCAAGGAUAGUUAUUUCCAGCCAUUUAUUUUUCUGUUUCACUUGAUGGACAGAGAACAAUAUCUGAAAAUGUGUGUUGAAAUUUGGAUUUCCAGGAUAGUUUAAGUAGUUUUAUGAUCUGUGUUGUAACAGUGCCGAUCAUCAAUUUGGAAGCCCUAUAUCAAAACAAAUCGGUAGCUAACGGCUCGUUUUACUACGAUAGUUAUUCUAGCAAAACCCUAUAUUAUAUAGUAUAUAUAUAUAUAUAGAUGAGAGGAGAGAGAGAGAGAGAUGAGGAGAGGAGACGAUGAGAGAGAGAGAGAGAGAACGAGAGAGAGAGAGAGAGGGAUGGAGGAGGGGAGGGGAAGUUGAGCUGGGAAUACUAUCGGUAGCAAACGCGGCUCCGUGCACCAUUUGUUUUCGAUGAUGGGAGCCUCCAAAUCGACGAUUAGUGCCGUUAAAAAUGCAUCAGUAUUACACUUGAUAUGGUAUUCUGAGAAUCAAAUUUCAUGCUUUUCCGAAUAUUUUCUCUUGUUCACUCAAGUGGGCGGUAUAAUGAGAUGGCUAAAAAUGAAUAUCAUCUACAAAAGUGAUGAUAGGAAUUGUUCUAAUCAAGGAUCGAGGUAGUGAGAUCUUGUUCUAAAUAGUUUAAAGAAUUUUAAAAUAACGAAAAUAUUCAAUUGAUUGGAUAGGUUACACGUAAACGAGAAAACCCUAUAUUUGACCAUUAAAAUUUACAAAUUUUUGAAACCCUUUGAAUCUAUUAGGUCAGAUGGAUGCGUCGGAGAAAGAUUUUGAAAUUAAUUUCGAGAUACUUCAAAGUGGUAUAGAUCAUGAUUCAACCGCCAGGGCUUACCGAUUAUCGAUUUGGAGGAUCUAAUCAGCUGAAAUUUAAAUGGAUGGCACAGGGGAGCCGUUGCUAUCGAUAGAUUCUACCUCAAACUUCUAUAUAUAUAUAUAAAUAUUAUAUAUUAGUCCGGCUAGGGGGGAUACUAUCGGGGAUAGCGCACAAGGAUUUGGUCAUCAAGUUGUUCUGCCGUUUCUUACAUUUACCUUUUUAUCAUUUUAUCCAUUGAUUAUACUAUUCAACGCAACACCCAUCAACAUAGAAGGACCCCAUCCAUCCUAACUAUACAUUUUUUAAUCCAAAAGGACAGCCAAAACUUAAUGUACCAGAUAUGGUACUAUUAAUAGUAUUCCAGCUAGUUAUUAUAUAUAUAUAUAUAUAUAUAUAUAUAUAUAUUAAUAUUAUAUAUAUAUAUAUAUAUAUAUAUAUAUAUAUAUAUAGGCUUGACGCUAGGAAUACUCUCAGAUAGUAAAAUGAUUGCAUAUUUACUAUCGAGUUGUUUUCGAUCAUAGAGCUUCCAAAUUGACGAUCGGCUCCGUUGAACAUGAUCUAUACCACUUGAAGUGUUUAGAAAUCAAAUUUCAAAUCUUUUCGACAUCAUUUGCCUAAUGAUCAAAGCGUUUCAAAAUUUGUAAUUUUAAUGGUGGAUAAGAAACGUUUUCUCGUUUAAUGGUGUAAAGAUAUCCAAAUCAAUUGAAUUUUUGUUAGAAAAUUCUUUAAACUAUUUAAAACAAGAUCUAUACUCUUGAUCUUGAUUACAAGACUCCUAUCAUCAUUUUUUAAAGAAUAUUCAUUUUCAACCAUUCAUUUUCUGUUCACUAGAUGGAUAAAAGAACAAUGUCGAAAGUGCGUGAAAUUUAAUUUCUCGAUAGUUUAAAUGGUUUAGAUCAUAUUUAACGGAGCCGAUCGUCAAUUUGGAAGCUCUAUCAUCGAAAACAACUCGAUAGUAAAACGCUCCGUUUACUAUCGAGAGUAUUCUAGCUCAACUCUAUAUAUAUAUAUAUAUAUAUAUAUAUAUAUAGAUAUAUAUAUAUGCUCACUCAUGAUUAAAUAUUAAAAUAAUCUUUUGAAUAUUUAGACAGUACUGGUUUAUGCCGCUUCGUUAAUUAGGUGCUAGGUGAUCUUUUCUUUUCUUUUCUUAUCUUUUUUUUGAGAAAAAUCUCUUUAUGAAUUACCAAGAUAUAUAAUUGUGCCAAAAUAUUAGUCGAUUUUGUAUUGCACUAAAGUGACGUACAAGGGUUCAAUUACACCAAUCUCCUAAGGCUCUAUUCGAAAGUGGGUUAUUCGGUAUAAAUAUUUUCUUAUGUGAUUGUAAGAAAGAAAUUUAAUUUCUGCUCCUUGAAAGAUUUUAAUAUCUAUGAUUUGGUAGGAUAACGUAUUUCACUUAUGAGAUAUUUAUCUUAUCCGAAAAAAUAAUUUAAAGGCUGAAUAUAAUAUUUAAUUUUAGACAUUUGAUCAUGCUCCUUAUCUACCAAACAUACAAACUUUUUAAAUAAAUUAUGAAGAUAUACUAAAUAAGAUAUUCGUACAUCCAAAUAAUGCCUAACUGUAUGAAUCUCGCCAAUAGUCCUAUUUACUUCUAAGUAAUAUUAGUAGGCAUAGUAGUACUAUGGGCAUGUUUUAUUUCGGGAUAAAGAGCGAGCAAUUAACUAAAGUUAUCCCCUACUAUUCCAUCACACCUUUUAAAGGAAAAAGAAAAAAAACUGAAUAGUUAUUCUGAUUAAACCAUGGUAUUCUAAAUAAUCCAAAAAUAAUCUCAAAAUAAAUUCUCCACAUUUCCAAUGGUAUAGGGCUAUUCUUAAUUAUGAUCGUCUUAGAUUAUUUCGGACAAUUCAAGUAAGAAAAAUGUAUGCCUAUAUCGUAUAUUACAUAUAUAUUUAAGUAUAUUAAUUAUAGAGAUAAUUUAAUGAAUGUUCCGUUACUAUAAUAUCGUUAUACUCUCCUAAAUUUAAUAUUAUUAUAGUGUCCGGCUACUAUGCUAUCGGUAGCACGGAGCGCUUCGUACUAUCAAGUUGUUUUUGAUGAUACGGCUUCCAAAUCGACGGUCGGCUCCGUUAGACUGAUCUACACUAUUGAAAGUAUUUGAAAACUAAAUUUUCGAUUUUUUCGACAUUAUUUGACUAGUGAUCAAAAGAUCUCAAAAUUGACAAUUUUAAUGGUCGAUGUGGUAUGUUUGUGAGUUUAACGGUGUAAAACAAUCCAAAUGCUAUGAAAAUUUUAUAGAAAAUUCUUUCCACUAUUUAGAGUAAGAUCAGUAUAUCUGAUCUUGAAUUUAAAUCUUUUAUCAUCGUUUUUCAUGAGAUUUUUAUUUUUAGCCGUUCAAUUGUAGACUACUUGAUUGAUAGGUAAAUGAUAUCGAAAAAUUAUGAAAUUUAGUUUCUAAAUACUUUCAAUAGUGUAGAUCAAGUCUAACUGAGCCGAUUGUCGAUUUGGAAGCCGCAUCAUCGAAAACAACUUGGUAGCACGGAGCGCCGUGCUACCGAUAGUAUAGCAGCCUAGUUCUAUUAUUAUAUAUUCCUAUUAAAUGGUCAUGAAUAUCAUGAAUAUUUUCCUAAUAGUUAGUCUCUAUCCAAAAAUACCCUUCAUAAUUUUAAAAUGCCAAGUUUACUCUUUAUCCAUUAUUUAUUUAUGCUCCUUAAAUUUUCUAUCUGUUGAUAUUCAAAACGUUUCAAAAUUACUCUCAAAAUUUUUUGCCGAUAAUUUUCACCAUCAUGUAUAAAUCACACCGAUAAUUUAAAUUUGAAUAUAAAAUUUAAAUUUAAAAUUCAAGAUCUAAGUUUAAAUUUUGAAUUUGAAUUUAAAAUUUCAAGUCUAUUGUGAAUAUAAAUUCUAAUUUGAAAUUCAAAUUCAAAAUAUGUUCAUAUUUUGAAUCUGAAUUUCAAACGGAAAGUUUGAAAUUAAAUCUAAAACUAAUUCAAAAUCUAGAUUUGGAAGUAAAAUUAAGGACACAAUCUCUAUUUGAAUUCAAAAUUGAAAUUGAAUUUAAAUUCAAAUCUAGAAUUAUAAUUUAAAUUUAAAAUUUGAAAAAAUUAGGUUUAAAAUUGAAAUUCAAUUCAAAUCUAGAUUUUCACUUUAGAGAAUCUAAGAUUAAAAUUUAAACUAAAGUUUGAAUUAAAAAACUAACUAUAACUUUUGAGACUAUUUAAGGAUAAAAUUUAUAUUUUAAAACUUAAUUAGCAUUAAUUAAAUUAGUCUCAAACUAAGGUUAGGGUAACACUCCAUAGUGUGAGAUAAUGAGGGACGAUUAUAUUGGAAGGUUAUAUGUGAUAUUGUAACACCGUGUGAUGUAAUGUAUACUAUAACAAAUUGUAUUAUAAUAAAAAGAACAAUAAUCUAAUUAUCAUUAUCAUUACUACUGCUACCACACACCACCACCAUUGUAUUAUUAUUACAUGAUUCUACAAAAAAAAAAUAGCAUUUAUGUUGUAAGAUAUAAUGAUAUGUUACAAUUUAUCUUCAACUGUUUACUAACUACAUAUAUAUUUUUCUAUUAGCCCCCACUAUCCUGGAGGUAAAUACUAAAUACAAUUUAAUUAUACGUAGGAAUAAAUAAAAUUGAAAUACACAUAAUUUUACACGUAUUUCUAUCUAUUAUCGUAGAAUAAUUAAGUUUCUCAAAUAACAAUAUUUCUUAGGAAAUUGUCUUAAAACCAAACAUAGUCUAUAGGAAUAAUGUGAACUGUGAAUAAGAAUCUUAAGGAUCUAUAUAUGGAACCAUUCUUACACAUAUAUUCCUCAAAAUUUAAUAUUAAUUUUAUUGCUAAACUGCUAUUUUUGUAAGUUAAUUACUACUAGAUCUACAAUCCAAACUGGAUUGCAAUAGUACAGUACCCUUAUUUAAAGAUCAAAUUAAUUUUCUCUACUAACCCUAGCCCCUGUGUGGAUCAUUGUUCUCUUCAUUGGGAUUUUAGACAGUGAAAAUGAAUUUCCUUUCUUUCGCAAUUCGCAUCGCAUAGAAAUUAAGCAGUAGGAAACUCAUUUUACACUGAUUAAUUAGCCUCGCGGCCCGUGAAAUUUCUCUAUAUAUGGGUUUACGUAGUGGAGUUUUUUUUUUUUUUUUUUUUUUUUUUUGAGAGAUAGGUACGUAGCACGCUACCCGCUUCGUUUAUUUCAUUUAGAAAUAAACUUAGCUAGAAAUGUGAAUCAACUAGAAUUCGAAGUUGGGUCUCGGAUACCAACCACUAAACUCUUUGCCACUUGCUCUAUAUAUGGGUUUACGUAGUGGAGUUAAUUUGAUGAACUAUUUAUUAAUGUGCUGUACAUGGUACAAAAUUAGUUGCAAUCAAUUCUGGUACCAUAUACAACAAAUUAAAAGUUACCUACCUCUUUUAACGAUUGUUGACAAGUUACUUAAUUAGCGUCUUCGAGUCCAGUGAGGAACUUAAAACUAAUUAUAAGAAUGAGUAAACUUUAAGGAAACUAAUUUUUCAUCGUUUACUUGUUUGUAUAACCUAUAUAUAUACAUAGAAUUGCCCAAACUAUAGAAUAACUAAUUAAUUGCUUAGAAGCUAGCUAGCUAUAUGUUGACGAUCUCUUCACCUAACCGAAUAGUAGUGUAGACCCAAAAUAUGUGAUUAAUUUUACGUACAUAAGCAAACUGAAGAGUGUGGGCAUGAAAGAAGACCGGAAGAAACUAAAUAUUACUACGCAAGGUGAUCGAUCGGGGAGAGCUAUAGCUAGCUAGGUGUGAAACUGCAGGGUGGGUUUAUCAUGAAUUUGCAAUUAAUUAAAUCUUGAGCAAUGCUCAUAUAUAUUCUAAGCACACGUACAAGAAAAAAAAAAAGAAAAGGAGAAGAAAUAAAAAAAAAAAAGAGCAAACGUACGGUAGGAGUAAAAUCUUAAAUCUUACUUAUUUAAGGGCCGGGUCAAUAUUUUUUCACUAGUUUUAUUAUCAUUUUUUAAAUAUUAUAAAUUUAAAAUGCGUGUCCUAGUUAAUUUUUAUGUGGACGAGCGCAUAAACUUAAUGGUGCUCUCCUUCCUUUGGGAUGUACGUAUAAUAUUUCUCUUAAAUUUUAGACCUCUAGCUUUGUAGCUAGCAGGCUGUUGAAAAAAAAAAAAAGAAAAAAAAAAAGAGGUUAGAGAAAAACCCCACCCACAGCUAGCCCACAUAGGUAGAUAAAUUAAAACAGAAACAAUGGUAAUUAAUGAGGGAGGUGAAAAGCAAGGGACUUGCUAAAAAAUUGGCCCAACAUAUGGUAAUGAGUAGUAUUAUUAAUUAGUACAUCCACUUCUACGGAGCCCGUUAAAUUGAGCAAGUACGGCUGAAUUCUGACGCUCAAGGUGAAAAUGGUUGUACAUUUAUCUAUUAAUAUUAACGCAUCUCUCACCGUCAAAACCUUUUCUGUCAAUAAUACAAUAGAUAUAGUUAGUUCCUGUUUUAUACAUAUAUAUAUAUAUAUGGAUCAGUACCUAAUCUAUAGGCUUAUACUAAUUUUAGGGUAUGUUCCGUUCGCCCUUCUUUCAUUCUGGAAUCGGAACGAACAAAUUCGUUUGUCCGUGUUUAGUAUGCGAAAUUUUCAUUCCGAUUUUGAUUUUCGGAUGAAUGAAAAUCUCCCAAAUUACCCUUUUUUUAAUCCGGUCUAGAAGGCCGGAUUGAAAAUUGAAUCGUGGCGGAAUGAAUUUGUUAGGAUUAAAUUUACCCUUUUUAAACUUAUUUUUUUAAUUAAAACAUACAUAAUUUUAAGUUUAAAAUUUAUAUUUACAAAUUUUAAUUUUAACUUAAAUUAAAAAUUAAAAUUCAAUCAACCAUUUCGAAUUUAAUUUAUAAAAUUUAAUUUGAAUCCUAAAGUUUUAUUCAAUUUUUAUUCAAAAUUUAAAUUAAAUUCAUGGAUUCAAAUUGAAAUUUAAAUUAUAAUGUUAAGUUUGAAUUUGAAUAUUUCAAAAUUUAGUUUUAUAUUUUGAAUUCUCCGUUCAGUUUUCAAUUUUAAUUUUUUAAAAAAAAUAUAUUUAAAAUUUUGACAUCAUUUUAAAAUUUUUACAUAAAAUUUUAAUACUUAAUUUUCAGUUUGAAUUUACACUGAUAUAUUAUAAAAAUAAAAUUGAUAUAUUAAUUUAAUUAUGUUUCUGAUAUCUAUCCGAAUCAAGCACCAGCAAUGAUUUAUUCCGAUUCCGAUUCAGACGGCGAUCCAAACAGAAUGAGAUAGUGACUCAUUCCGAUUCCGUCUCCAGCUUAUUUUCCCUCCGACUUCGAUACCGAUUCCGACUUCGAACCAAAUACACCCUUAGAGAAAGAAGUCUAUGUACCGGAGUCAAAUUCACAACUACUGCAGUGGAAAGAUUAGAUUGCCGGCACUAUAGUAAUAUUAAAUAAAAAUAGUAGAUUAAUGGUAUUUUUGUAAUAGUAAAUAAAAAUAGCAGAUAAUAGCUAGGAGUAAACAAAAAAUAUUGUUGUUGUUAAUAAGGGAGGCAAAAGACAACCCAAGUUAAUUAGUUGGCCCAUGCACCAAUCCGAAAGAUAAUCAGAUCUAGACAAACAUGCAUUUUGUCUGAAAAAUUGGGUUCUCAUAAUUCACUUUGUACUGAUUAAAAUUCUCUGUUUGGAUUCGGAUAUAAAAAUUCAGACAAACUGGGCCAAUGGUCCGAGUUUGGACUAACAGCUUAAAUAAUAAACUACCUUGAAUUAUAUUAAACUACUGCUUAGUUAUUUCAAGAGAUAUAUGAAUUAAGUAUCUCUAAGAUUAUAAUAUUAAUUAAAUCUAGCUACUACAAUCCUUAAUUUGUAUUUUUUUUUUCUUUUGCAUGUGAAAUGAUUUUAAUCAAAUAAAAAUCGUUAAAAAAAUUAAAUUAAAUUUUUUCCUAAUUCAAUUUGAGAAUUAUCUAAUAAAAGAUAUAAAUAUCGAUCGAGUUGCUGAUCUUUAUGGCGUUGUUUGACUUUAUUUAGAUUUGAAACUAUUUGACUUCAUUGUGGUAUAAGUAAAUAUGAGAAUUUGUGGUUUAUUAAUUUCUAAUUUUAAAAAAAAAAUUGUCAAAAUGGGCGCAAAAUUAGAAAAAAAAAAAUUACAAUAUAAUUUUAUUUGAUUUUUUUUUCAAAAAAUCAAUUUAUAAUAAUUUCAAUUCUAAUGAAAUAAAAUAAAUAUAUAAACUUUAAAUCAAAAUUAUAAAAGCAUUUAAAGUACGUACAAAAGUAUUUUUAAAAUGCAAAAUAUCGGGUUAUUAUUGAAAAAAAAAAAGAAGUGACAGAACUAUAAAAUAAUUCACUCUUCUAUAUACAGUAUAGAUAUUAUUAUUAUUAUUAUUAUUAUUAUAGAUACUAAUAAUAAUAGGUAUCGAUGGAUGGAUGGAUGGAUAGAUGGAUGGAUAUACGUACGUGGCAUGCAUAUAUACAAGUGGGUCCAGAUCCGGUUUUAAACUGGGUCUGAUCAUUAAUUUGAAUAUAUAUAUAUAUAUAUAUAUAGUGUAUAUAGUGUAUGCGCUAGCUAGCUGUGUGAAAAUUUUUUAUUAUCCCUAGCUAGCUAGUAAUUAUCGGACCCCGGCCGGCUUGAUGGGUACGUGGGUCGGUAGGUGAAUUUUUAUUCUUGCACACAAAUUAAUUUUAAGUGUUGAGGUGCCGCGCGGCCAUUAAUUAGCGACGAAUCAUUAAUCCACGAGUGUCGUAAUCAAUGAACAGCAUGCAUGUAGCUAGCUAGGCACGAGCAUAAUUAAUUUGGAGGGUGGAGAUAGUUAUGUAUGCUGCCUACCUGGAUGUGAUGAAUUUGAUUUAUGACAGCUAAGUUCGUUAGGACGGUGGUGGAUCCGCUCGCGAGUAAUUGCACGCGAAUUAACACCUCCCACGACCCAUUUUUUCACCGAAUCGGCCGUUUCGAUCGCGUGCGUCCAUCGAAAACCUAAUUUCUUUCUGAUUCUAUUAAUUGUUCAUAUAUAAGAGACAUCUAUCUUUAUACAAGGGAGAGAUCGGAUAAUUAAUUCGGUACAUGGUAUAUAUAUACAUGGAGACAUCUCUAUAUAGUAUACAAUUAUUAUACGACGAAAUUUCUUUUCUCCGAUCGAUAAUAGUGAAGAUGUAAAUGAAAAUAUUUAUUUAUAUAUGUUGACGCUCCCGCAAACUCAAGACGGGUCAAGCACCACAAGAGUUUGGGCAAAAAGUACUAAUUUCUUUGAAUAGUGUAAGAUUUGGACAAAUGUACUGAGAUUUGGUGAAAAAAUCGGUAAGCUGUUGAACGGACGAAGCAAAUGGUAAUGCUAUCGUGCCAUUAGUAUAAUAACGGCGAAUGAAAUUGCGACUCAUUUUGAUAUGGUUGGUGGGUUCGUGAAAGACAUGUUAUCCGCAAUUUUAAUCGCACUUUGAUUAUCACAAUAUGGUUGUGUUGGAGCAGAGUAGAGGGCACCGAGGUCAUCAAAGAACUAUCCAAGCCAUAUAAUUUCAGAGGUUGCAGAGGGUGCCAGGUGCAAGGAGAACUAAUGACCAGAUACUAGCACGAUGAAGGGCAACAAGUUCCGUAGUCAUCGCAUCCCGCCAUUCAAUAAUGGAAGCGGUAUACGAUACAUUUGUGGUUCCCAGAUAUCAGAAAUAGCUGCAAGAAAUUAAUGUAUGAUAAUACAAAAAAAUGCAGGUAGAGUCAAUAGAACCGACAAAUUAUUUUGGACGACGAGUUCUCGAUACACAAUGGUGGUCGGAUCAUCCGAUGAGGCGAUACUUGUUGGGUCCUCAUGUGGUCCUCAUGUGGUGGUGCUUGUACAACAAGAAAAUCUAUAGAGAAUAGAGCCGGUAAAGGUGAGAAGAAGUAGCAGUUGAGGAAUCAGUUGGUUAGGAUUCUUCGGGAGAAGAAAUAGUGGCUGAUGAAAUGUUGAAGCGAAAAAAGAUCAACUAUAAGCAUUGAAAUGGAAAUGACGUCAGCACUCAAACUAGAUUGAACAUAAUUGGGUAAAUGUUCGAGAAAAGAAUGAUAUCUUGAGAAAUAUGCAUGUGACGAGCAAUAGGAUCAUAACAUCGUUGUGUUCAAGAUAUAGCCUAAGAAAACACGAAUAUAUAAUUUCAGGGAGAGUUUGGUCAUUCAUGUCAGGGUGGGAGAACAAAACAAGUGUACACACACACACGCGUGCGCACACACACACACACCCCGGGGGAUAUGGCAGAUAAGAGACUACAAGGCAUGAUAUAAACUAGACACAUAUGUAGAGAAAGCAUCAACCCAAAAAUGUUAAGGCGUAGACCCAUCUAUAAGAUGAGAGUAAGCAGUUUUAAAGAUGUCUCAUAUCAGUGCUUACGCUCAGCAAUGUCAUUUUGUUGAUGCACAUACAUGAAAGUUGUGGCAAAGUAUCAUGUUUAGCAAGGAGUAGAGGAAACUCAUUCGAAAAUACUCAUGCAUGCUGAUCUCUCCAUUUUUUUUUUGGUUAACGUCGAACCAAGUGGGCCCAAAGAUAACAAUAACAACAUCGAAUGCUCCACUUGUCUUGUCUAGCACUAUAACUUCUAAAAGAAUUGGAAGGUAUAGAUGAGAAGAAGUAGACACUAAUGCAGGUAGAGAAGUUGUAGGAUCACGAGCAGCGAGGACAAUAAGCAUCGCAGAAAUAGAGGAACUUAGAACUUGAAGGCAUGUCUCUGCAGCAAUUAGUUUCGCCAGAGCUGCAUCAAUGGUGAGGAAUGGAGUUCGAUGGAGAAGUUGACCACGCAAGGCUUCAAACUUAGGUAGCAAGUGCAUAAGGAACUAGAAUAAACAUUGUUGAUUGUGCACUUGCUUUUGCUUGAAAGCACACUGACAAGCUGAGCAAGUGCGGCAUAAGGGUAUCCAUAGUUGCUAUUUGAUGCCAAAGUGCCUGCAUAAAGUCAUAGAAAAUCGAAAUUAUGCGCUCCUCUUGAUGAGCUGUGGAGAUUGUGUCAUGCCUUGAGUCCGACCAAUUGGACCCGCUUGGACAUGUACAAUAGAUCCACUGGACAAGACAAGUUUUCCCCUACCCAUACGAAGCAGAAACAUACAGCAACCUGUACAAUGCCAUAUAUGAAAUAGUUAUAAUAGAGCAUUAGCGUAAUAUUUCUAAAUUAAAACCACUGCAAACGUACUCAUUUAAAGUUUACCAAACUUAAUACAUUCCAAAAUAUUACAAUUUUAUUGUUCAUAUAAAAAGGUACAAUCUAAACCACGUACUCACAUGGUCUAACUACUCCACAACGCCCUUACUAUGGUCCCGCACCUCAAAGAUAAUAAUAGGAUCUGAAAAUAGGUAAACAACAAUGGAAUAAGAACUUGGAAUGAGUUCUGAAUAGGUGCAACCACUGAAAGUGGUAUUCUAUACUCACCAAGUUCCAAACGGGCGUUAGUAAUAAGUAAUAAUAAACAACAUCUAUUACCACAAUAGAAAAGUAAAUAAGUAAGAUAUAUCUAUAAUGCCUCUCUAUAUAUAUAAUAUGCAAAAAUGGUUUGCUAUGUUAUUUACUACACAUUCACCUCAUUUUAUUUUCUUAAUUUUAACAAACUUGUUCAUUUGGUUUACUUUUCAAUCUCAGUACACACCUUAUGGAGAGUCAAGGAUGAUCGAACUUCUCUCCAAUCGGUAGGCACUUGGGAUUGAAGGAGAUCAGAUUUUCUCUAGUAUGGCAUCGGGAGUUGAGAGGAUUAGACUUCUCCCUUUAUGACACUUCCGAAAAUCGCAACAUGUUUCAUUGUUACACCUUAAGUUCGUGACUUCUAGGGUUGUCAUAAGGUUUAUUUCCAUAUUGUUUUAUUUUCUAGUUCUAGUUUUGCCUAGAGAUACCACUAUAUUCACAUCUUAGGUUUCAAAAUAGGUUAAACGCCACACUUGUUUUCAACAUUUUAUGGUUCACAUAAUACUCACAUGUACAUCUCAAGUAUUUUCUUGUAGUAUAAUAAAGGGAUAAAAUCCUAUUUUCCUAGGCCAAAUGGCAAUAUACAAUUUUGACUCUCUAGAUCCCCUAGCAUGCAACUAAAAUAUAUUUCAGCUUAUAUAAAACUCAUAAAAUAUGCAUGCAACAAAAAAAUAAUUUAGACAAAGAGGAAACUAAAUCUAUUUUGAUUAUAUUCUUUACCUUUUCUUAGAUCUUCUCUAAGAGAUGCUCUUGAUCUUUUUAGAAUACCAAGAAAAUCUUAAAAAUUAAUUCUAACCAAGUUAGAAUCUAAAAAUUCUAUGUUUAGGAAAAUUCCCAAAAUAAACCAGAAGAUUCCAACUUACCUCUUCUCUUCCUGGUAUAAGAAAUGCGGGUGAAAUGGACUUCUUCUCCCUCCAAGAGCGUUCUCUUGAUGAAUUUGACCUUCUCCAAGCUUUCAAGGAAAUAGAUCUUUAAGUUUCAACAAUAGAGAUUUUAGGGCUCUUUUACUGUAAAGAAAGAGAGAAGAGGAUAGUGAGAGAGGAAGAAAUAUAAGAGAAAUUAGGGCUAACUAAUUAAAAGGAUACUCAUAGACGUGCUAUAAUAGCACAUAAACCCGCCGACAAUCCAAAUUUAUAAAGCCAUAAACCUCGACCUUUUAACUAGGAUUCGGGCACCCACUUGUCCGGACUUUCAGGUGCCGGUCCAAACUUUUAGGAGCCCAAAAGCCUCGUAGCUCCCUUUGGUCAAUUGUCUAGAUGCCCGGCCAAUCCGCCCUAUCCAUAAUACGGGUGCCCAAAAUGGACAUCAGGUGUCCAAUUAUUUAAUCCAUCACACAUGCGCUCUCAGGUUGAACAUCCAAAAGACAUUCGGAUGCCCGCGAGGGACUGCUUGAAAGAUUUUUCGAGCGCCAGAUUUUGGUCAACCGAAUAUUCAAUCCUUCACCUCCCAAGUUCUCGGGUUGGGAGUCCGAAAGAGGGUCUGGAUCCUCUUAAGUAGGAUUUGAAAGGUUAAUUUGCAGGCACCUAUGGGGCCAUUCGGGCACUCUAAAGUCAUCCUUCAAGUGAGUCCCACUGUCCGAAAUGGUUUCGGGUGCUUGGGAUCCUGUUUCGAGCGCUUGGGAUCCUAUUUCGGGCAUCCGAGAAGUUUGAUACUUCAGUUUUCACUUCUUUGAAAAUCAAUUUCAAUAUAAAUUAGUUUAUAUUCGGUCCAAAUUCAAACUACACUCCUUCAAACCCAUUUUAAUUGUGUCUAGCAUGACUUAAUCCGUACUUUGUUAAUUUAGCCAAAAUUCAGUAUGUUACAGAUUUUCUAUACUUAGAAAAUAACCAUAACUAUACUAUCUAUAUAUUUGUCUCUAUAUAUCGAUCAAAGAUAGACCACAUCUGGUAAAUGGUGGAUAGGCUGAUUAAUUGCAUACAAAUGUCGAUAUCCACUUGUAUAAAUAAGCCCAUGUGCCCGUCAAUCAGCAGCAAAUCAGGCUUUAGUUUUGUUUCAUCAACUGUUAGAUUGGUACCAUCAAUAUGACUGGUAAGAUCAAGAGUAUUCAAAUAAUAAUUGAAUACACAUCGACCAUUCAUAAUAGUUGGGCACGAUGAGCUUAAUAUCAAUUUGCACAAUAGUAGGUUAGAGGUGAGAGAACUAUUUUUCUUUACAGGUCUAAGCUAUUAGAGAAUGAUCCUUUAACUAUUAUGUGCUCAAAACAUUUUGGCAUCUAAUGGCAGAUUUUGGCUAAAAGCCAAAUAUGCAAAUUGCUAAAACUAAAUUAAAGAUUAGUAUCAAAAGAUUUUGGCAGAAAAUUAGUCUCAAAAGAUUCGGAGUCAAGACCUUAUGCUUUGAUAUCAUUUAGGACAUUGUUUUCACUUCCAUAUAUACUCAAUAGGGAUUAUCUUAAAUUCUGUUGAAUUCGCAGGUCCAUUCCAAUUUAUGAUGUGAUCCAAAAUUUUAGCAGUAAAAUUAAAAAUUUCACUACUAGAAAAUUAGUCAUUAGUGACAUUUAUUUACGCUGCUAAAAGAUCAACGAAUGCCACUAAAAAUUUUAGCAGCAUAUGACACUAACUGUUGCAUAUGCCAAUGUUGCUAAAAGUAUUAGCAGUAUUUAUAAUGAAUGCUGCCAAUGUAAAUCAAUUAGUGUUAUUAGGAACAUGCCUCUAAUAUAAAUCAAUUAGUGUCAUUCGGAACAUGCCGCUAAAAGGGAUUAAAUGCUAAUUUUAACUUAUUUAUUAGUGGGACAUAAAUUAAUAUAACGCCACAAAUACAAAUAUCUGAUUUUAGGGACUCAAGUUUUAAAAUUUUAAUUUUACCCGCUUCAGCUGGAAAUGUGAAUCAACUAGGAUUCAAACUUGAGACCUCAGUUACCAACCAUCAAGCACUUUGUCACUUACGCUAGGAACUCUCAGUUAUAUAUAUUUAAUUUUUUUUAAAUUUUAAGCCUUCAAUUUUAAAAUUUUAAAAUUUUAAAUUCUAAAUUCUAAAUUUAGAUACUAAAUUUAAAUUUUUAAUUUUCAAAUAUUAAAUUUUAAGUUUCAAAAUUUACAAUUUUAAAUGUGAAAUUUUAAAUUUAAAAAAAAUGUAUAAAUUUAAAAAUUAAAAAUUAAAAAUUUAAAUUUUAGAAUUUAAAAUAGAAAAUAUAAAAUCUUAAAAUUCAAAUGUUAAAUUAUAAGUUUAAUUUUAAAAAUUAUAAGUUUCAAAUAUUUAAACUUUAAUUUCAAAACUUUUAAUUCUAAGUAAAAAUAGGAUAUAUUAAUAAUUAUAUAUUGAUUAGUAACGAUAUUUAGUAAUAAGUACUGCUACUUUAUUACAUUUAGUGGCGUUCAUUAAUUUACGCUGCUAAUUUAUCCUAUUUUGUAACAUUAAUAAUAAAUUACUGCUAAAUUAUUAAAUCUAGCGGCAAUUAUUAAAUAAUGCUGUUAAAUAUAUUAAUUAGCUUAAUUUAAAUAAAUAUUGUGAAGUAAGUGUUGCAGCAUUUAGCAAUAAGUGCUGCUAUUUUGUUACAUUUAGUGUUAUUUUUUAUAAAAUGUUGGAAACUUCAGCGGCAUUCACUAAUUUAUCAAGUACGAAUAAUUGUAAAUUGCUACUAAUUGUAACUUCAGCGGCAUUCAAUAAGUGCUGGUAAUUUAUCCUAUUUGUAACAUUAAUUGUAAAUUGCUGCUAAAUUAUUAAAUCUAGCGGCAAUUAUCAAGUAAUACUGUUAAAUAUAUUAAUUAGCAUGAUUUAAAUAAAUGUUGUGGAGUAAAUGUCACUAAAUCAUGAAUUUGUUAUAGAAUUUUAUGAAACUCCAUGGUAGUAGCACUAGAAGCCCACUACUUGCUUUGUGAGUGCAAGGGCAGCGCUCCUGCAAAUUGGAAUAGUUAAGUCGGGGCCAAAGUUUUUCUAACCCCUAAACUUUUGAUCUACCAAUUUAGUUAAACUUAGACUAGUAUCGUUAAUUCUUUAGAGAUUUAACCGCUUACAUAUGUUGAUAGACCUUACUCCGUGGAUUUGUGGUAUCAUAGAGAGCAUGACAUCUAUUUUGCAGGUUAGGAUAUUUUGAGAGACGUAUGUUUUGUACUCAGCUUUCGAUUAUAAAAAGUUUUGCUUCAUCUUUGUUCAUGGAUUCAGGUCAGUGGUCAAACAAGAUUAUUUUCUUGUGAUUUUUUUUUCUUCUCUAUUUUUUGAUUCUCCGUUUUCUUUUAUCUGAUUUUUAGUCUUUGUUGUUACGAGAUACUUACCUCCCAAAUGUCUCACCUUGAAGCUGUGAAUGCCACUAUAUAGUUAGUACAUAUAGACGAAUAUAUAAGCAACGAGUUGAUUUAGGUAAAUAAUUAUUUAGCCACCACUCCAUCCUUCUUCUUUUCACUUAAUUGGAAUUGCCUUUUAUACUCAAAUUUUGGCAUGUUACAUACUAAAUGUUGAAAACUGAUGUGGAUAAAAUUAAAUUGUCUUAGAACUUCGAAGUAGAAAUUUUUCUUCACAGUGUGGGCCAUUAUUUCAUAAAUUGGAAGAUAAAUUAUGUUUGGCAGUAUGUUUAGGAUAUGAAAUCAAGUCUGCAGGAAAACUUAAUUUAUGUAUGCUUCUAACGGAUGAUUCCAAACUUAAUUUAUGUAUGCUUCUAACGGAUGAUUCCUUACGUGAUGCAGGAUGAGGACUUUCCUAAUUGAGGGUUUCAUGUGCCACACUCAUAAUGCUGCAUGGCACACUCUACACAACAUUAUUUGUGGGAGUGCUAACAAGAUGGAGAAUUAUCUAGACAUUGUCAAGAAUCAGCUAAAGUGCAAUGUAACUAUAUUUCACGGCCGAAAAGAUGAGCUCCUCCCUGUUGAUUGUAGCUAUGCUGUCGGGUCGAAGAUCCCUAGGGCUCGUGUUAAGAUCUAUGAUGAGAAGGACCAUAUCACGGUUGUCGUUGGCCAAGAAAGGGUUUUCGCAAGAGAGCUUGAAGAGAUAUGGAAAAAUGCUAUGCAUUAAAUAAGGAGGAGGAAGAAAGAAUUUAAACCUAAAUGAAAUAACUUCCCUCUCAAUGCACAGCUCAAAGAAAUGUGAUGCAAACAAGUGAUGCAUGUUUGAGCAAAUAUAUAUAUAUCUUUUGUUUCUCUCUUUCGUUCUUUUUUAAAAAAAUUUCUUUCUAAAGUACUUAUGUUUUACCACUAUAUGUGGUUCUAUAUGGUACCCCUUAUUCAAGUGUGAAAUAUGUAAGAUAGAAAUAUUAUGGGGAAAGAUAUAGAUUUCUCUACUUUUCAUAUAUUCUUCUUAUGAACUAUGUAGUAUUGUUAGUUAAUAACUUCAUUAUUAAAUCAUCAAUCUUACUACAUCGAGAGGGCAACAAAUUAUAUAUCACUCCCCGAGGCUGUUUUGUAAAAUAUUUUCUUUGAAAACGAGUGAAAAACAUGCUUUUUCUGAACUAAAAAACUGCCCUGAACAAGCACUGAUUCGCCAUACGAACAAAAUCUUCCCUAUCCAAAUGGAUAGAGUUUUUUCUGUACGCAUGACAUAUAUAGAGACAUAAAGUACAACAUCCAACCAUCAAACACAAUAGUAGCAACAACAACGACAAUAGAGAGAUAACAACAUACUAAUAAAUGAUCGACUAUUAUGAUGAAUAAAUGACUACUGCAGCCUCCAAUCUUCACAUACAACAAGUCACCUCCUACAACCAAAAUCAAAUAACAAUAUAUACAGGCCAGAAGCAAGAAUUAAUAAUACUGAAAAGUGAAGAAAUACAGAUACUAAAACCGACUACAAGGAAGCCACCCAAACUACUAAGAAGAACAAAUCUACAAAUGCUAAAUAUACAAUAACUAAAUAAUUAGGAGUUUGAAACAAAAGGUAUAAUUACAACUCAAAGUUACUGCCAGAGGGACUCAUCUAUCUAAUAGUACCUCAUGCACAGGCGGAUAUGUCACCUCUAGUGUCACCUGUGGAAACUAGGGAAUGAAAAACAUGUACACAUAUUUUUCAGUGCGUACUGCAAGCCGUCGAAGGCAAGCUGUACUCACUAGUAAAUAAGAGAGAGAGAGCGAUAAGGUAAAUACGAUAGGUAUAAACAGGUAUAAUUGAUAUAGUAAAAGUAAAACAAGAAAGAAAUCAUGCGACUAAAUAUUUGAAAUAAUAGCACUAUUGUAAAAAGAUAAGCAGAUGUAUAUAUGCAUCAAGCAAAUGAAUACUUCAAUACUCAGUCCCAAUCCAAACAAAUAUUGUCAUGUUGGUCUAAAGACCUUAGGCAAUGCCACACCUAUGCUUAGUCACUAGGCAUAUAAUCCUUCACGCCCUAGGGUUCGGCUCAUGUCACGCCCCGGGGUCCCUUUUCAGUUUAAAACAAAGCGGAAAAGCGUCUGAAAUUUUUUUUUUUUUUGAAAACCUGACCCCAGAGUAUGCCAGAUCCGCCACAAAUACAGGGAAUCCACUGUUCACACGGACAGAGUCUCCCCUGUAUUUGCACGGCGUCGCACAAGUACAAGAAGUCACCCAAGCACAACCACAACAAAUGAACAUACAAAUAACCAACCGUUAUAUAUAUUCAUACGCCAUUCACCACAGAUUCACAUGUAUGCAUAAAUCCACACCUAUCAGUUAAAAUAUUUCCAACCACAGAAACAGGUUUUGAAAUACUAAGAUGCAAAAUCCACAGAAAGCUUUUUGAAAACUGUUUCCUACACGGAAACCUUUAUUCUUUAAAAAUGCUACCACGAGGGGUAGAAAAUAUUUUACUUUACAAAAUCCAGAAAUCCGUUUAUUACAUUCACGAAAAUCCAUAUUUUCAAAUGUAAUAAAAAAUACUGAACCAUAUAACUAUCUAAGCUAUAACAACUGAAAUAAUAAGGGUAAUAACUAUACCGAAAUAACCUGGGUCGGAAGCUCUAUCGACCGCUACACACGUACCUCACGUCUCGUCCCACUACUCAUCGCCCGCGAUACCUGAAAAAUGGUGGGGGAGGUGAGAACAUGUAAACAUGUCUCCCCUCCCAGUGGGUACCGCAAGCCGAAGAAGGCGAGGAGUACUCACCGGAUCAGGAAGAACUAUACAACAACAUGGGUCAGUGGAAAUAAACAAGGUAAUGAGCAGAUAUACAAUAGCGAUAAACUGAAAGGAAGUAAGAACUAUACUGAAUAAACGGCUACCGCUACUGUAACUGGAACAGAAAGCAUACAUGAAUAUCUACUAUAGUAGCAAGACAACUAUAAAGUAAGAUCUGUAAGUAUGCAUGCAACGACUGCUACUAUAAACAUAUGCGUCAAUGGGACAAUCAGUCCAAAAGUACCCAAUCUGAAACCAAUGCUCUCUUGGUCAGCACCGCAGACCUCAAGCCAAUGCCCUGGAGGUCCGCACCGCAACACCUCCCGACAGUACCACUGCCGCUCUAACAUGCAUAUAACCCCUCUAGGGCUCACGGGUUGUCACCAUUCAACCACUUUUCCGGAAAAGAACACUCCUUGCGGUGGAUCAGACCGCCAGUGUUCGUGAAAUGCGACGAGUAUCGGGCGAUCAAUGCAAUAUGGUCAAUGAUCAACCGUCGGCAACCAGCCGACAAUCCUGCCCCCCAGGGCCUAUCGACCGCAUAGGUCAUCAACUGUAAAGAAGCACAAGAACCGACCACUCAGGUCAACUAGGAUGGGACAACAUCGACAUCCUCUCAAACAUAUGCAAAUACUGACUAAUCAAGUCAACUGGGAUGGAACAACUCAACAUCCUACCCACAGUAUGUAGAUACUGAUCAAUGAGUCAACUACUGUAUAUAUGCAAGAAUCGGUCAACAAGUCAUCUGAGUAUAUGAUCUAGAACUACCGUCGGCCACUAGUCGACAAUCCUACCCCUCAGGGUACACCGACCUCAAAGGUCAUCAAACAACAAGAGUCAAGGAACAAACCGACUAUAUACAGAUAUAAGAUACAAGAACGAAUCAACUAGGUCACCGAUUUCACAUAAAAUCACGAAACCGCUCUACUCUAAACAUGAUACAGGAUAUGCAGAAUAGCUAAGUAGAGCAACAAAGAAAUAUGGUAUAACUACUCUACUCCUACUCAUGAUAUAAAGAGAACAACCGAGUAGAGUGUAACUGAACAACAUGGUGCUAGGCUCAACACUAUAUAUCAAGAUAUAUAUAUGCUAGAUAAUAACGAAAGAGCAAAGGUAAGAAACCAUCACCGAGCGUGCACCACUGUACCGACGUCGGAUCGAAGUACCCACCUGUACAACUGUCGCGCCUGUCUCCUGACUGCAAAAGAACGUCAACAGGACCUAUGGAGGGUCCACUGGGUUAGUGUCUAACCCACAACUAAGAAAUACUACAUCGUAAUCCCGCUAACAAACCCACGGAGAUCAGUUUCCCAAAACCGACUACCGUAACUCGCCGGAAGUCCCAAAAAUCGCACCGGGACUCCGUCGGGACCCACGAACUGUCCCGAAAUGUUCCAACUCAGGAUACGAGUCACCCGCUGACACAAAACACACCAAUUUGGAUGUCUUGGCAGAAAACACAAGUUAACACAACUACACAAUUAUCGCCGGAUAAUUGUACGAACUCGGGUUCCCGAAAGUGUCAAAUUCGACACCGGAACCCACCGUCGCUCACUCGUCAUUUCUGAACUCUCGAAAUGACGCAAGUGGCCAGAAAACAAGGCUCGGCGACUACACAAUAGCUCACGAAGCACCGUCGGAAUAAUUCCGAACCGAACCCGCGUUCUAUCGGCGGAUUUCGCCGAAAAACGCAUCGAAAAUCACUUUUCGAUUUUCGCAAGGGCUUGGGGCCUUGGACGAUCAGUCCAGAGGUUAUCCUUAGCCCAAACGUGCUGCCAACAGCAUCUACAUCGAAGCAAAAGUCCUAAAAGCCCAUACCGAUACAUGAAAUCGCAUCAUUUCAUGUGAUUUCUAGGCUUUUCUGGACCGUGCACGCAAACCAGAGGUCGAUUAAUCCGACCGUCGCACUCGCUGACAGGUUUCAUCAUGUCGGAGGCCGUGCUCACCUUUCGGAGCACUGCCGACCACUGCGGUGCGCGCACGAGCGACACGAAAUCUGUGAAACAGUGCGCACAGCGCGAAGGUCGCGACUAACUUGCUAACCAGGGCAUCUUUGCCGCUGUCGGAGGUGAGCACGAUGUUCAGCACGAACCCUAGAUCAUCGUGCUCACUUCUCGAGGUGUCGGGGAGUCAUCGGAUCACCAGAAAGGUGGCCGGAAAGCUUAAAUUGCAAUGCUGGAACUCAAAAACAGCAUACCGGAGCAGUGGGAGCUAGGGUUGGUCGCCGGCGGCCGGGAGGCGGGCACUCUGGCCGGGGAUGGGAGCAGCCGGUCCGAGAGGUCCGGGGAGGGUGCUGGCCGGCGGCGGGCGGCAACCGGUGGCGCGGCGGAGGAGAUCGACUCCGCCCAUUCCCUCUCGGGUUCGUGCUUCCCGGCGGCGCGGCGGCGGCCGGAGGAGGUCGGGGCGGCUACGGUGCGGCGCCGGAGGCCGAGGGGAAAGUGGUGUACCCCCCGGUGGGCGGCGGCGGCACUUGGAUGUCGAGCGGGCCCGACCUCGGCCCGCACAGGUCUGGGUAGCUGCAGGAGAUCUCAGCGGCGGCCGGCGGCGCGCGGGGACGGCGGGGGACGCGCGCGCCGGGUUGUCGGAGGUCGCCGGGGCCGACUGGAGGGCGGCACGGCCGAAGUAAGGCGAGGACGCAGAGUUCGAGCUGGCUCGGUCUGGGUUGACCCGAGUUGGCCGCAGGGAGCGGGGGUGGAUCCGGUGGCGCUCGGGGGUGGUCGGGGCCGACGAGGGAGGACGACGGAGAUGGACCUCGGCCAGAGGAUGAUGCUCCAAGGGUGAAAGAAGCUUCCUUCGCAGCUUCGGCGAAGUCGGAGGAGAGGGUGGCCGAGAGAGCAAGAGAAGAGGUCGGGGUGGCUUUUCCGGCGGCCGGGGCAGCUCGCCGGCGGCUGGGGCGUGCGCGCGGGUUGGGCAGGGAGAAGGUGGGGCGGCUAGGGCUCGGUUCGGCUGAGGAGAAAGCCAAAAGCUAGGGUUUCCUCACGAAACCCUAGUGCAACUACUAUUUACAUAUGUACAAUUGCAAGAUAGUCCUCCCAGGGAUAAUAUUCUCAGUCAAGUCCCUCACAGCAUGUGUAUUUUACACAUACGCACCUCCAUGUCCGAUCUCAAGCAAUUCGGCACAUAAAAUAUUAGAUCUUUUCGCGAUUUAACCGUUUUGCCAAUUUGACCUCUUAGCGAUAACUUUGCAAUUACCGGAGAUCCGUCCGUCGGAUUUUCGAUCCGACUGUGCCAUCGCGUUCAGUACAACGGGGGCAUCGAAACUACGAUUUCGUUUCAUCCAAUUUGGUCACGGAUUCGCGACGGAACCCAUCUGCUCUCUAAUUAAUCCAUAUAUCGUACGUAUACCAAUGUGUAAACCCAUUAAACCAACUUUCGUAUUAGAAAUUGACUUCCCUACCACUAGUAGGGACCCGAAACAUUCUUCACCCUACUCCAGGUCACAAGCACGGGGCACGAGAAGCUUUAGAAUGCACAGAAAAGCAAAGAGCGGAAACCCUCUUUUCGGUAAAACUCCUUUUUCUCGAAAAUCGUGCAUCAGAUCUGAAAUCCGUCAGUGCCAUUGGUUCCAGAACAGCUGAACCGAUCGAAACGAGCUAUUGGAUCGCUAUGAACGGAGUCCGAUAAGCGCCGAAAGCCAACUCUACUCCGUGGCUUCACCGAAAAACUGGAGUUACUAUUCACUUAAGUGAAAACUAAUAAUCACGUAACUUCUCCGUUCUAGCUCAUUUUCUCCUGAAACUUGACGAGUGCUUAUGUAAUUAAAUUACACACAUAAAUAUCGUCAACAGAGAGUUUAGUUGCACUGUAAAAAUCUCAAUCCUUACAGCUCAACGUGGGUUUGCCAAUAGAUCUGCCGCAUACACAAGAAGCCUUGUGUAUACGAAGCGAUAGUAGUACUUGUAAAGUAUAAAAGAACAACUAUAAGCAAGUAAUAGGAUUGUAAAAAACUGCUAAAACUAAAACAUGAUCCACUGUACAUACAUAAGAUCUAGGGAGUACAAUAAAGAAAUCCAAAAGUACAAACAUCAUCUCUCGCAAUUGUAAAAUAAUAUAUAUAUAUAUAUAUACGUAUAAUAUAUAUAUAGAACGUUCGGCUACUAUGCUUAUCGUAGCACGAGCGCUCCGUGCUACCAAGUUGUUUUCGAUGAUGCGGCUUUCUGAUCGACGAUCGGCUCCGUUAGACUUGAUCGAACACUAUUGAAAGUAUUUGAAACUAAAUUUCAAAUUUUUUCGACAUCAUUUGACUAGUGAUCAAAAGAUCUCAAAAUUGACAAUUUUAAUGGCCGAUGUGGGUGUGUUUGUGAGUUAACGGUGUAAAAAUAAUCCAAAUGCGAUGAAAAAUUUAUAUAAAAAUUCUUUUCACUAUUUAGAGUAAGAUCAGUAUAUCUUUUUUGAAUUAAUCUUUUUAUAUCAUUUUUCUAUGAGAUUUUUAUUUUCAGCCGUUCAAUUUUAGACCUACUUGUUUGAUAGGUAAAUAAUAUUCCGAAAACACACUUAUGAACACUUAUUUCUAAAUACUUUCCCACAUAGUAUAGAUUCAAGCUCAACCGGAGCCGAUCGGUCGACUUCUGGAAGUAGCAUCAUCGAAAACAACUUGGCAGCACGGAGCGCUCCGUACUAUCGAUAGUAUAGUAGCCUAGCUCAUAUAUAUAUAUAUAUAUGUAUGUAUGUAUAUAUGUAUAGCAUAGUACUAAUAUAAUAAUAUAGAUAUAUCUAUAUAUAUAUAUGUAUACAUAUAUACAUACAUAUAAUAUAGAUAUAUGUAUAUAUAUUAUAUAUGUAUUAUAUAUAUAUAUACAUAUAUAUAUUACUAUAUAGAUAUAUUAUAUAUGUAUAUAGAUAUAUUACAUAUAUGUAUAUAGAUAUAUCACAUAGAUAUAUAUAGAUAUAUAUAUAUAUAUACUAUAUAUAUAUAUAUACUGUAUAUAUAUAUAUAGUAUGUUAUAUGAUUAUAUCUAUAUCUAGAUUGUAGGAUAUACAUAUAUAUAUAUAUAUAUAUAGUAUAUACACAAUAUAACAUAUAUAUAUAUAUAUUACAUAUAACAUAUAUAUGUAUAUCUACAUACAUAUAUACUAUAUGUAUAUCUACAUAUAUAUAUAAUAGUAUAUAUAUUAUUGUAUAUCUAACAAUAUAGAUAUAUAUGUAUAUAUAUAUAUAUAUUAUAUAUAUAUAUACUGUAUGUAUAUAGUAUAUACUAUAGAAAUUUAAAUAUUCUGUAUAUUAUAUAUAUAUACAGGAUAUACAUAUAUAUAUAUAUAUGUAUGUAAUAUAUAGUAAUAUAUAGUAUAUCUAUAUAUAUAUAGGGUAGUUAUACCAGAUAUAUAUAACCUACCUAUAAUCAUGUAUAUAUAUAGGUAAUACAUAGGUAGGUUAAUACAUAUAUAAUAUAGUAGAAGGUGGUAUACAAUAUAUUAGGGGGGGGGUAGGUUAUAUAACCUACCUAUAUAUAUAUAUAUAUAUAUUAGUUUAGUAUUAAUAUUUAUAUAUAUAUAAUAUAUAUAUACUAUAUAUAUUUAUAUAAUUAUAUAUUAUAACCUACAAUCUAUGAUAUAUAUAUAACCUCCUAUAUAUGGUUAUAUAUAUAUAUAAUAUGUAUAUAAUAAUAUACCUAAUCUAUAUAUAUAUAUAACCGAGUUGGGCUGGGGUGCUUUCGGAAAGAAGCACGGAGCGCUUCCGUGCUUCCACUUUGUUUUCCGAUGUUCGGACUUUCGAAUCGACGAUCGGCUCCGUUAGAGUUGAUCUACGAGCUAUUUAAAGUACCAAGAAUUAAAUUUUGCGAAUUUUUCGAUAUCAUUUGCCUUAAGUGAUCCGAAGGGGCUUCAAAAUCAAUAAUUUUAACGGCCGUGGUGAGCCAGUUUGCAAGUUUAACGGUAUAGAAAUAUCCCAAAUCCACGGAAAAUUUUGAUAGAAUUCUUUAUUACCAUAUAAAACAAGAUCAAUACUUUUGUGAUCUAAAUUUUAAUGGUCGAUAUCAUCAUAUUUUGGUGAGAUUUUUAUUUUCAGCCGUUAUUUGAGCCACUUCGAUCACUAGGGCAAAUGAUAUCGAAAAAUCGCAAAAUUUAUUUUCUAGAUACUUCAAAUACCUAGAUCAAGUCAUAAACGGAGCCGAUCGUCGAUUUGAAAGUCCCAACAUCGGAAAACAAAGUGGAAGCACGAGCGCUCCGUGGCUUCUGAAAGCACCCCCAGACGCUACUCAUAUUAACUUACCUAUAUAUGUAUAUAGUAUAUAGGUAGGUUAUAUUAUAAUAUAUAUACAUAUAUAGGUAGGUUAGUAUAGUAUAUACUAUAUAGGAGUUAUAUAUUAUAUAUAUAGUAGGUAGGUUAUACAUAUAUAUAUAGUUAGGUAGGUUAUAUUAUAUAUAAUAUAAGAUAUAUAUAUAGGUAGUUAGGUAGAUGUAUAUAUAGUAUAUAUAUGAACUAUAUAUAUAUAACUAUAUUAUAUAUAUAUAGGUUAAGUUAUGUAUAUAUAUAUUAUAUAUAUAUUAUAUAUAUAUAUAUAUAUAUAUAGUAUAUAUAUAGUUAGUAGUAUAUAUGUAUAUAUAUAUAGGGUAGGUAGAUGUAUGUAUAUAGGUAGGUUAUAUAUAUAGUAUAUAUAUAUAUAUAUAUAUAUAUAUAUAUAUAUAUAUAUAUAUAGAUAUAUAUAUAUAUACAUAUAUUAUAAUAUAUAUAUGUAUAUACAUAGUAUAUAUAUAUCUAGUAUAUAUAUAUAAUAUAUAUAUAUAUAUAUAUAUAUAUAUAGUAUAUACUAUAAUAUAUAUAUACAUAUAAUAUAAUAUAUCUAUAUUAUAUAUAGUAUAUAUAAUAGUAGGUAGGUUAUAUACCUGAUAUAUUUAUAACCAACAUAUAUAUUAUAGGUUGUUAUACAUAUAUAUAUAUAGUCAUAACCUACUAUAUAUAGUAGUUUAUAUACUAUAUAGGUAGAUUAUACAUAUAUAUAUAUAGGGGUAGUUAUAUAUAUAUAUAGAGAGUAGUUAUACAGAGUAUAUAGGUAGGUUAUAACCUACCUAUAUAUGUAUAUAUUAUUAUAACCGUACAUCGUAUGUAUAUUAUAACCCACCUAUAUAUGUUAUAUAUAUAUAUGUAUAUUGUAGGUAACUACGUAUAUAUAUAUAUAGCUAUAUAUAUAUAUAUAGUAUAUAUAUAUUAAGUAUACAUAUAGUAUAUAUAUAUAUAACUACAGUCGUAUAAUUAUAUAACCUACCGUAUAGUAUGUAUAGUAUAUAUAGGUAAUACAGAUAAGUAUAUAUAUAUAUAUAUAUAUAUAUAGUAUAUUAGUAUAUAUAUAUAUAUAGGAUUAUAUAGUAGUAUAUAUAUAUAUAAUACGUAUAUAUAGUUAUAUAUAUCUGUAUAACCUACCUAUAUAUAUAUAUGAUAUAUAUAUAUAUAAAUAUAGAUAUACUAUAUAUGUAUAUAGAUAUAUCUAUAUAUAGCAUAUAUAGAUAUAUCUUAUAUAUAUAUACAUAUAUACAUAUGAUAUAUAAUAUAUAUAUACAGUAUAUAUAUAUAUAGUAUAUAUAUAUAUAUAUAAUCUUAUAUGUAUAUAUGUAUAUAUAUAUAGAUAUAGUCUAUAUAUGUACUAUAGUAUAUAUAUGGAGUCGGUACUAUACUAUCGGUAGCACGGAGCGCUCCGUGCUACCAAGUUGUUUUGAUGAUGCGGCUUCCAAAUCAACGAUCGGCUCCGUUAGACGUUGAUCUACACUAUUGAAAGUAUUUGGAAACUAAAUUUCAAGGUUUUUUUUACAUCAUUGACUAGUGAUCAAAAGAUCUCAAAAUUUGACAAUUUUAAUGGGCCUAUGUGGUGUUUGUGAGUUUAACGGCUGUAAAACAAUCCAAAUGCGGAUGAAAAUUUUAUAGAAUUCUUUUCACUAUAUUAGAGAAAGAUCAGCAUAUCUGAUCUUGGAAUUUAAAUCUUUAUCAUCCAUUUUUUAUGGAGCAUUUUUAUUUCAUGCCGUUCAAUUUGUGAGGGCUACUUGUGUUGGUAGGUUAAAUGGUAUUGAAAAAUUAUAAAAUUUAGUUUUCUAAAUACUUUUUUAAAUGAGUGUAGAUCAAGUCUAACGGAGCCCGGAUCGUCGAUUUGGAACCGCAUCAUCGAAAACAACUGGUAGCACGAGCCGCUCCGUUGCUACCGAUAGUAUAGUCAGCCUAGCUUAUAUAUAGUAUAUAUAGGUAUAUAUAUAGUAUAAGUAUAGUAAGUAUAUAUAUAUAUACAUAUAUAUGUAUAUAUAAUAUACAUAUUUAUGUUAUAUAAUAUACAUAUAGUAUGUUAUAUAAUCUAUAUAUGAUACUAUAUGUAGUAUAUUUUGUAUACAUAUAUAUAUGUUAUAUAUGUAUAUACAUAUAAUAUAAUAUAUAUAUGUAUAUUAUAUGUAUAUAUAAUAGUAUAUAUGUAUAUGUAUAUGUAUAUAUAUAUAUAUAUUAUGUAUAGUAUAUAUAUGUAGUAUGUAUAUGUAUAUGGUAUAGCUUAUAUAUAUUAUAUAUAUAGUAUUAUAGUAUAUAUGUAUAUAGAUGGGGUAUACAUUAUAUAUAAUGUAUAUAUAUCAUGAUAUGGUAUGGUACUCCGUGCUGUAUAGUAUAUAUAUAUAUGUAUGGUAUAUAGUAGUAAAUAUAUGUAUGUAUAAUAUAUAUGUAUGUAUAUAUAUAUAUAUGUAUAUAAUAUAUUAUGUAUACAUAACAUAUAUAUAUAGUGGUUAGUACGAGUGUUUGAUUAUUAAGAGUAGAUAGUGUAGAGGUACAUAUGAUUGAUAAUUGUAUAAGAGGGGAUACAGGAUAUAUAUAGUAUGUAUAGUGAUAUAAUAUUNNNNNNNNNNNNNNNNNNNNNNNNNNNNNNNNNNNNNNNNNNNNNNNNNNNNNNNNNNNNNNNNNNNNNNNNNNNNNNNNNNNNNNNNNNNNNNNNNNNNUUAUUUAUAGACUUUAGAAUCAAUCGGAGUCGAAUUAGAAAGUUUUCACGGUUUUACACUGUGUACUGGUACACUUUAAGCUGUUACCGGUUACACGAUGACGGAACGAAAAACCUGACGAAACAGUGAAACCGGUUACAUCCUUGAUGGUCGUACUGGUACACAUUUUGUACCGGUACACUUCUGAUGCUGUACCGGUACACUUUGCAAAUUUCCGCCGUUUCGGGUUUUGCAAAGUCCCAAUGCACUUUCUAAUUCGUUAGACAUUGAUAACAUGAUUCUAAUGUCUACAACUAAGUAUGAAUCACCAUAACAUGAAUUUAUACUUUACCUGAGCAUCGUGAUUCAUAUCGUGAGUUAUUUUCCAACUUUUUCAAAAUCCUGAUUUCUUCGAUCUUCGACGAUAUGCACUGGUUCUUCAAGACUCCGACUCACUUCACGAAACUUGCCAAUACACAAGACUUAACAACCUUAGGCCGGUUGGACUAUAGGAAAUAGGCUCGUGAGAGACGAGGUCUAUUUGACUUGUGAGCGAAAGUAUCAUGAUUGGGUAUCUUGAUAACUCUAUAAAGUUGGAGUUGAUCGAAGUGUAUGACUUCUAACUUCGCGGAGGGUUACGUUGGCGGCCGACAACGUAACAUCGGGAGUUAGUGGUGAAGAACACUUCCUUACUUUCGCAUGAUUUGGGUAUUAUCUUUUGAGCGGGGGUUCGAUAGCGUGGGUUUACUAACUUGCGCUUUUAUGAUGUUGUAGUGACGAUGCCGAUUACACGCUCUCAAUCUACCAGAGCGGAUAAUGCGGCAAACUUGGAGGAGGUCGAGACCUCCGCUACCUCCGGAUCCGGUGAGGUCCGUGAGUUGAGGGGCCAGCUUGCGGCCCUCACUGAUAUGGUGGCACAGCAGACAGAGGCAGCGCGCCGGCAGGAGGCGCGGAUGAAGCGCCUGGAGGACCUUCUUCUGCAACAGGCGGCAGCUUCCAGGGAAACUCAGGCCCCUACACCGCCAGCACCAGUCGUGGACGUCACGCCGAGAGCGCCAUCCCCCGCGCCCAGUUCUUCGUGAGCAGCGCCCAUGGCCGCGCCUCAGGAGGAGGCUAUCGCGGCACCACCUGUGCAGAGGCCCCCAGUUGGAGCAGCUUUCCCUACCUUGGUCGAGGGAGUGGAGCGGGACCGACUCAUGGAGCGCCUCAACGAGUUCAGGAGGUGCAGUCCCCGAAUCUUCGACGGCGAGAAGGUCGACCACUGGAUCGUAGAGAAGUGGUUGAUGCAUAUGGAGAAGCUCUUUCGCGACACCUUCGUGGAGGAGAGGGAUCGGGUUUGGCUCGCCACACACCACCUGGACGGCGAGGCCUAUCGCUGGUGGUUGGAUCUCCAGGAGCACCCCAGCACUGAUUUGGCAGCUAUUACUUGGAAGAGGUUCAAGGAGCUUCUUUUGGCGCAUUACUUCCCGACUAGCGUCAAGAGGAAGAUGGAGCAGGAUUUGCGCAACUUGCGCCAGGGAGACAGGACAGUAGCCGAGUACGAGCGGGAGUUUUCUCGGCUUUUACAUUGCGUGCCUUUCGUCGUGCGGGACGACGAGGACAAGGCCCGCAUCUUCGAGCGAGGGUUGCGACCGUCGAUCUUCCGGUUUGUGCAAUCCUCUAACCUCCAAACCUACCAGGAGGUGGUGGAUCGCGCGCUCAUCGUGGAGAGCGGCACGGCAGAUGUCCAAGAGCGGCGAGAGGCUAUGGACAAGGGUAAGGCCAAGAGGCCUGCGGCUGAGGGUGCGAGCCAGACGCACUCUAGGAGGCCGCCGAAGCAUCCUAGGAGCCAGCAGCGUGGGCGUGGCUCGGCGACUCACCAUGGAGGUUCUGACCGACGCCGACCUCCCCAGUGCGUGAUCUGUGGUGGCCCCCACAUUCCACCGCAGUGCCCGCAGCGAGGAGGGAGGUGUUUCCAGUGUGGCCAGGAGGGCCACUUUCGGACCGAGUGCCCGAGGGGUUCGUCACCGGCACCGUCAUCUGCAUCGGCACCGGCUCUACCAGCCGCCAGCCACGGGACUCCAUCAGCGCAGUACCAGCUCGGGCGGCCACCCGCCCAGCGCCAGAGCGAGGGUUCUCGACAGGCCCCGAGUGGGCGUAUGUAUGCCGCUCAGACCGAGGAGGCGGCAGCAGCCGAGGAUGUGGUCGCAGGUAUCAUUUUUACUUGAUGCAUUAGAGUUCGUGCAUUAUUUGAUACCGGUGCAUCGCAUUCAUUCAUAGAUCGGCUGUUUGCCGAGUUGCAUGGCAUCCCUAUGUUUUCUUUGUUGCAUCCGGGACGUGUAGUUGUCCCUGACCACUCUUUGGAUAUUAGAGAGUAUUGCCCCAGUUGCCCUAUUCGGGUAGGAGAUUGGAUUAUGUCCGUGGACUUGCUAGCCUUGCGCAAGCUGGGGGAGUUUGAUGUGGUCUUAGGCAUGGAUUGGUUGACCAAGUUUUAUGCCACGAUAGAUUGCAAGAAUCGCACGGUUACUUUUAGAGAACCGGGGCAAGUUGAGGUGAUAUUUAGAGGAUGCCAGAGUUCGCUUUUUGCGAUGACGAUCAGCUCGUCUCGAGCUAGGCAACUGAUCAGCAGAGGUUGUGUAGCCUACUUGGCUAGUGUUGUGUUGAGGGGCGAGGGUGAUACCCCGAGGAUUGAGGAUAUUCCGGUGGUACGGGAGUUUUGUGACGUGUUUCCAGCUGAGCUACGGGGCAUGCCACCCGAUAGGGAGAUUGAGUUUGUGGUAGAUCUCAUCCCUGGGACUACUCCAAUCUCGAAAGCGCCCUAUAGGAUGUCACCGGCGGAGCUGAAGGAGCUGAGGGCACAGCUGCAGGAUCUUCUGGAUAAAAGCUUCAUUCGACCGAGCGUCUCGCCUUGGGAAGCACCAGUUUUGUUCGUCAAGAAAAAAGACGGAUCACUUCGCCUAUGCGUGGACUAUCGCGAACUUAAUAAAGUCACGAUUAAGAAUAAGUAUCCGUUGCCGAGGAUCGACGACUUGUUUGAUCAGCUUCAGGGAUCGUGUGUGUAUUCCAAGAUCGAUUUGCAGUCGGGAUACCACCAGUUAAAGAUCAAACCCGAGGAUGUAUCGAAGACGGCUUUUAGAACCCGGUAUGGACAUUAUGAGUUCACUGUUAUGCCGUUCGGGCUUACUAAUGCCCCCGCAGCUUUUAUGGAUCUAAUGAAUCGUGUUUUUAAGCCUUAUCUAGACAGGUUCGUCGUGGUGUUCAUAGACGAUAUUUUGGUUUAUUCCCGAAGUGAUACAGAUCACGAGGAGCAUUUGAGGCUUGUACUUCAAGUACUUCGGGAAAAGGAGCUCUAUGCCAAGCUAAAAAAGUGUGAAUUUUGGCUUCGAGAGGUAGCUUUUCUUGGACAUUUGAUUUCAGGAUAGCUGUGGAUCCUAAGAAGAUUGAAGCAAUCAAGGAUUGGCCGAGACCGACGAGCGUCACGGAGAUACAGAGCUUCCUUGGAUUGGCCGGGUACUACCGGAGAUUUGUUGAGGGGUUCGCCAAGCUGUCUACUCCCCUCACGAGGCUCUUAGGAGAGACCGGUCUCCCAGGGACCGGUCCCUCAGGUGAGGACCGGUUCCCGAACGCGAAAAGUCCCCAGACUGCAGGGAGAGCUCUCGGGGACCGGUCCCUUGUCGGGGAGACCGGUCCCUCUGGGCGAAAACAGCCCAGUGAUAGCAGGUUGAGAGAUGAAAAGUUGAGGGGCUAAAGUAGAUUUUGUUACAAUAGAGGGGCAUAUUAGCCCACUCCCCCUCUCAGCCUCUCAUUUCUCUCUCUCCCUCACUCUCAUUUCUCUCUCGCUCUUUCUCUCUCUAAAAAGGAAAGGAGAAAAAGAAGAACAAGAAGGAGAGGAAGGAAAAGAAGAAGAAGAUAAGGAAGGAGAAGAAGAAGGAGAUCAAGAGGAAGGCUUUGAGCACCUCCAUCUCCCUCUCCUCUUCUCUUUGGUGUAGCUCGUGAGGUAAGCUACUAAACCCUAGCUUCUAGAACUUAGGGUUUUGGGUUUUUAUGCUUUGGAGUGGGUCAAAUGGACCCUAGGCAAGCUUCUAAGUAGAUCAAUCCCUUGAUUCUAGGGUUUUAUCGGUGGGUUGCUAUAUGUGCAACCUAGGGCUCCAAAUGGGGCAUUUUGUAAAGUAUGAGAUUGAUCUCAUUUGAGGCCUUGUAAACCCCAUCGAUAGGUGCCCAAACGCGGGGGCGAAGUCGAUUUCGCGAUUCGUCAAGCGGGCUUAGAGCAAUCGGCGGAUUACGGUCGUUUCGGCGCUAUCUUGGAUUAGGGAAGGCUAAAGCCUUUUCGUAAAGCUCGCCGAGGAGCGUUCUUGAGGCCUCUACGUUGAUAAAAGGUGGGGGGUGUCAUCCCGAAGCUUUCGAACUCCUUUCUAUGUCUUAGAUUGCAUUUAAUCUCAUCUCUUCAUGUUGCAUUGUAGGAUUGCAUAGUAGCUCCAUUCCUUAUGCUUUCUAAAUGAUAACCUAGUGUACUUGGAACGCUUGGUAACUUAGAUAGGUGAGGAUUGGGUCGGAACGUGGAUCCUAUGAUGUAAAAGAAAAGAGGUGAACCCGAUGGGGGUAUUGAUGACAUAGAAGGUAGUGUUAGUGUUAAAGAACACAUGAGUGGCAUCCAAAUGUUAAAUGAUGACGAGUGGCAUUAAUGUAGUGUAUAUGACACUAGAGGUUUGAGAACCUAGGGAUAGGUGGAUCCCUUAGAAAAUGCCUUGUGAACAAUGAAUUUAGAAAACUAAAUAGCAUUGCAUGAAUGUCGGGAACCGAUGAUUCCGCGAUAGUCGUUGACCCUAGUGUAGGGCGUCCUCACUUGGAGAGGAUUCGAUUGGGUUAUUGACUCUAGUUGUAGAGCCUCCUCACUUGGAGAGGAUUGGAUUGGGUGUUGACCCUAGUUACAGUGUAUCCUCACUUGGAGAGGAUAGAUCUAGCUCACAGUCUGCGUUUAGGAUGGUAUAGCCAUCCAAUCCCCACAUGGAGGGGAUUGUCGUCGAGUACUCCGGAGUGUCGCGCGACUAGGACCACUUGGAGGUCCGGACCACAUGGAGGUCCGCAGACGGUCCCGGGCUUGGGUGCACUUGGAGCUCCCUCCCCACUUUGGGAUUGGAAGAUGAGUUAUGGGUGAGCCCUAGGGCCUCGCCACAGAUUGGGUAAAUGAAAGGUUAAAGGUUUAAUAAAUGUCAUUGAACAUAGCUAUUCGAACAUGGAUCGAAUUUGGUAGCAUGGUAGCAAACCUUUAUUAUAUGAUGCAUGCAUUCAUAUUCAUGAUUAUGGGCAUAGUAGCAUAGUUUUCCUACUACUGCAUUUACAGCUUUCAGAUACAUAUCUAUCUAUCUAUCUAUCUGUUGUUACUUGUGCCCACUUGGACCUAGUGGGGAGAUCGGCAGAGUCGGCGGCCGAGCCCACUGGGAACUAUGGAAGAUAGUUCUCACCCCACUCUAUUUUCAGUAGUAGGUACAGGGUUAUCGAGAGAGGACCACGGCAAGGGCAUCGCGCCCGAUCAGUGAGACCGUGGUAGUAUAGUAGCUUUCCUUUUGCAGUAGCACACCUAUGUAUUGCGAGAGAUUCAUGUAGGUGAGGCUGGAGAGUUAUGUAUUUUGAGGAUCAAAUGUAUUCAUUUUGGAAAAUGAUGUAAAUGUAAAGAAUGCAACUAUUGUAAUAGUUAGUAAAGUACUCUCUUUAUUUCACUCGUAUAUCUUGUGGAUUACUUGCUCUUCUUGUUGUUGGCACUGUUUGUGCCCUCGUUGAAUAUGUAUGUUUAGAAUUUAAAGCCCUGGGUAAAUUCUUGUGCACAUUCAUGUUAUUGAGCCUUGGGCGGACAGGAGAGGUGCUGUCCGUUCGGCGGACCGUCGCCACGGCCGAAUCGUGCCAAAUUGGUAGUGGUUUCGGGGCGGGGCGUGACAGCCAGCCUCUCGCCAACUUCACUCCAAUGAAGUGGCGAUCUACACUUCCGUCCAUAAAGUGCCUCGAAGGGUGCCAUCUUGAUGCUUGCUUGAUAACUAUUGUUAUAAGCAAACUCCGCCAUCGGUAGAUGCUGCGACCAUCCUCCCUGGAAGUCAAUCACACAUGCUCGGAGCAUAUCCUCUAAAGUACGAAUGGUGCGCUCCGACUGUACGUCACUCUGAGGGUGGAAAACAGUGCUGAAAUCCAAUCGGGUGCCCAAGGCGUCCUGUAGACUCCUCCAAAAGUGAGACACAAACCGAGUGUCUCGGUCCGAUACUAUCGAUAUAGGCACUCCAUGAAGUCGCACAAUCUCAUCAAGGUACACUUGUGCGAGCUUCUCUCCGGUCCAAGUAGUAUGAAUAGGUAUGAAGUGUGCCGACUUCGUCAACCUAUCCACGAUCACCCAUAUAGCCUCAUGCCCGGCCUGAGAGCGGGGCAAUCCAGUCACGAAAUCCAUGGUGAUCUUCUCCCACUUCCACACGGGAAUAGGCAAACUCUGAAGUUUUUCCGCGGGUAAUCGAUGCUCAGCCUUUACUUGUUGGCAAGUUAGACAACGAGCUACAAACUCGCCAACAUCCUUUUUCAUCCCGGGCCACCAAUAGAAUAACUUUAAGUCCUUGUACAUCUUGGUGCCAUCCGGAUGUACAGCAUACGGUGCUCGGUGUGCUUCAUGAAGAAUGUCCUCUUUGAUUUCCGCAUCCGCCGGUACACAUAACCAUCCGCGAAAACACAUCAAUCCUUGGUCAUCCACAAGGAAAUCGCCGGUGCAACCAUUAACCAUUUUAUCUCUAAUCUUUUGCAACUCCGUAUCGGAAGCUUGCUUCUCUUUAAUCCUAUCCACAAGUGUAGGUUGCACCACCAAAGUCAUCAACCUUAAAGACGUGUCUGGAGUCACUACCUCCAACUCCAACCGCUUCAUAUGCUCGAUCAACUGCGGUUGAGCCACAACAUGCAUCGCUAAGUUUUCUGUCGAUUUCCUACUUAGCGCAUCCGCCACCACGUUAGCCUUGCCCGGGUGGUAUAAAAUUGUCAGGUCGUAAUCCUUGAGCAGUUCCAACUAUCUGUGCUGUCUCAAGCUCAACUCCUUCUGAGUGAACAAGUACUUCAAGCUCUUGUGAUCCGUGUACACUUCACACCGCUCGCCAUAAAGAUAGUGGCGCUAUAACUUCAAUGCGAAGACUACGGCCGCCAACUCCAAAUCAUGCGUCGGGUAGUUCUUUUCAUAUUCCUUUAGUUGGCGCGAAGCAUACGCGAUCACUUUGCCAUCCUGCAUCAACACACAACCCAAUCCAUUAAGUGAAGCAUCACUAUAAACCACAUACCCUGCUCCAGCCAUCGGCAGGGUUAGGAUCGGGGCGGUCGUCAAUCUUUGCUUCGAUUCUUGGAAGCUUCUCUCGCAUGCAUCAUUCCAAAUGAACUUGACUCCUUUAUGCGUGAGACCGGUUCCCGAAAGGGGAACCUUCAGGACUUAGCCAAAUUUAGGCUUCCUCUCGCGGGUGUCGCGCACGGGGACCGGUCCCCUCAGCCAGGGACCGGUCGCAUCGGCCUUGCCCCGCGACCCUCAGCUACGGGGACCGGUCCUUCCCUCUAGGGACCGGUCCCCGAGAGCAAAAAUCUGCUGAGUCCAGAUUUUAUCUAUUUGCUCUCGCGGACUCAACUCCAAAGCACUUUUUGUGUUUUGGGCAUUCUUAACUCCCACAAAGGGUAUUCUCUCGACAGUGAGUCGAUCCUGGACAAAGUACAAUCCUCGUAUUUCGAGAAUUCACUUCCUUACACUGGCAUUAGGCUCUGACGUGCUCCAGGAAGCUGAGGACAAGAUUCGUAUUGCUCGGGAGCGACUUUUGACGGCACAGAGUAGACAUAGGAGCUACGCCGACCGACGACGGUGAGACUUGGAGAUCCAAGUUGGAGACCAUGUUUUCUUAAAGGUCUCGCCGACUAGAGGGAUCAGGAGAUUCAGGAUUCGGGGAAAGUUGAGCUCCCGUUUCAUUGGACCGUAUGAGAUUUUGGAACGUGUAGGUCCGGUAGCGUAUCGACUUGCUCUACCACCGAACCUAUCGGGCGUACACAACGUCUUCCAUGUAUCGGUCCUUCGGAAGUACAUCUUCGACCCGACUCAUGUGUUGGAUGCUACACCUGUGGAGUUGCGGGACGACUUGAGCUUCGAGGAGCAACCAGUGAAGAUCUUGGCUCGCGAGGUUAAGAAACUACGGAAUCGGGACAUUCCGUAUGUAAUGGUCCUUUGGAGCAACCACGAGGAUCGGGAGGCCACGUGGGAGCUAGAGAGCGCGCUGCAGGAGCGCUAUCCCCAUCUCUUACAGAUGGAGUCUUGAGGUAUGUAGUUUGAUUUCGAGUUUCGCGGACGAAACCCCUUUUUAGGAGGGGUGAAUGUAACACACUGGACCUUUGCAAAUUGCGAGGUUCAAGUGUUUGAUCUGUGUUCCGAGCUUUGCCAGAUAUUCUGGAAGGUCGUUGACAGUGUUUUGACCUAUGGCUCGCAUCCCAAGAAUUGAGGUUUAAAGCUUGUACCAAAAUCCAAAAAGAUGGAUUGUUGGUCCUGCUCUCGGGUCAGCCUCAGCCAGGCUGUGUACCGGUACAGCCUUGAUGGUUGUACUGGUACAGGAUUUGUACCGAUACACCUUGAUGAUUGUACCGGUACACUUCGGGUUUUCUACCAACCCGAGGCUCGGGUUGGGCUGUUUCAUAGGAAGUGUACCGGUACACUUUCCCGUGUACCGGUACACUUUCCCGUGUACCGGUACACAAUGCAGACUGGGCUGUUUUCGAGGAGGGGUGUAUUUGCAAUUAUUGCAACCUCUUUAAAUACCACCCCAGCCCCUUUAGCUGCUCUUUUGAGCCCUAGACCUGUGGAGAAAAGGUGAGAACUCUUCCCCUUUGGAUUCUUCUCCAUUUUUGGUGGAUUUUAGUUGGUUUUGAUCUCUCCUUUCUUCUCCUCCUUGUUUUUUGUUGGGUUUCCUCCAUUGUUGAGACUUGGAGCUUGAAGAAGAGCUUGUUUGAGAAGAGAUCUCCAACCCUACUUGGUUUGGAGCUUGGUUUGGGGCAUCUUGUGAGGUUUGUAGCAUGUAUUUCUCUUUUCAUACAUGUUUUAGUGGAUUUGGAUCUUGUAACCCUAGAUUUUGAGAUUUAGGGUUAGAACUAGGAACUUUUGAUUUGAGGCUUCUAGAACCAAAUUGAUUGGUUUAGAAUCAUGGUUUAGGUUGGCUUUGAAGGAUUCUUACUCCCUUUUGGAAAUCAAGAGAGAUUUUCACCAUUUUCGGUGAGUUUUUAGCCCUUUCUUUGAGUUGCUUAAUGUUUGAACUCAUGAAUUGUCGUUUCGAUGUUACUCCCCUAGCCUAUCUCUUAGGGUGCUAGGAGUGAUUAUCGAAGCUUCGUUAGCGUUUCGGACGCCCGCGCGGAGCUUUUGGUGGGUUCGGCUUCAUGUGAAUAGGGGAAAAUUCCUCCUAAGGGGUUAAUAUGUGUUGUAUUAUCAUUUUGCAUGCAUUUUCAUACUAGAUAGGAUUUAUGUGAAUUUUGAAUACUUAAAAUGCAUGUGUUGCGUAUCAUGAAAAUCCUUCUCUACAUAGUAGAGCAUUAUGUGUAGUGUACAUGAAUGUUUAAAGUAUUCUCUUUUUCAAGUUGGAAAAUAUGUUGCAUGUGAGGAAGAUGGUUGAAAUAUGUAUUCAUGAAUAUUAAACUCAUGUUUGAAUAUAGUGAACUAGAAUGCCAUAAAGGGGCACUUGACUUAGCAAAUUGUGAAAUUGCAACAUAGAGACAUAGUGAUAGGCCAUCGAGACAUAUGCUAUAUUUCAUGUUUUAGACAUGACGACAUAGUGAUAGGCCAUUGAGAUAUUUUCCACAUUCCAUGUUUUAGACAUGAUGACUUGGUAUUUGAGACGGACUUUUACGCUUGCUUGCCAUUGUGCUCAUUCACACAUGCUUGUAAGGGUCGCUCCCUACAAGCCGGCACUCCGGAGAUAGCCAUCGCGACAUAUGCUCGCUCGUGCGGGAUUGGGCGCCGAAAUGGAAUGCCGUGGGGGAAGCUCAUUCCUAGAGUGGGGAUGUUGACUACCACGGGGCCAUUAGGCACGGCGCAGGCCAGACAGCCUACGGAUGGGUCUUACAUGAUUGGAACUUAGUGACAGAACAUGCCAUUUGGACUUUGACCAGAAUAGUAAACAAUGACAUUUACUAUUUAGCUUGUGGACAUUAUGUUAGUGAUGCUCGUUUAUAUUCUGUUACAGUAGCUUUAUUACUUAUGCAAUUCAUGCUAAGUAGAGAUAUCAUGUUGUAGUAAGUUACAUGUUUACUUACAUAUCGAUUCUAUUGCUUUUAUUGUUACUUACCUGUUUAGCUCUUUUGGGCCUAGUGGUGCUUUCACUGAAGUCAGUAAUUGCCACUGGGAACUAUUAUUUAAUAGUUCUCACGCCCCCGUUUCUAUGGUUUUAUUUCAGAGCCCUCUACACCGGUGGAGGCACGGGACCGCGGCAAGGGGAUCGCUUAGCUAGCUAGCGAGGAGCGUUUCUUUUGCAUUUUGGUAGUUCGCUCUCCUUUUGUUGUAGUUGAGAGAGAGAGAGUUAUGUUAGUACCUUGUAUAGAGAGACCACCUAUGUAUCUGGUUUAGCAUUUGUACUUUGGAUGUUUAUUGUACUACUUUCUAUUUUUUCUUAGUGGAUUUAGCUCUAUAUUCAUUUCGGUUAUUGUAGCAUCUAGACAUACUUGCUCUGAUACUGCUAGAUGUUUUCUUUAUCUUGCUUUAUUUAUCGUUUUAUUUUAGACGCCUUAUAUGUUUUAGACGUAUGCCGGGUCUGGGCACGUGCCGGGCGGGCUUUCGCUGGGUCCCGGGGCGUGACAACGGAACUCAUAGCAAGUAUGAUCCAUUCUUAACUCUAAGGAUAUAUAGUUCAAUCAUUGUCUUUACACUAACUCUAGUGUUCUUUACAUCACUUUAUUUUGCUAACUCUAGCAAUCAUCGUUCUUUAACUUUACUCGUUCUUUAUGCCAAACUUUGCAUUAACUUUAACCAUUAUCAUUGUUCUUUUCAUCACAUUGAUUCUUUGAUGCCACACACUAACUUUAGUGUCGACUAUAUACUUUCGAAUGCCACUCGAUCUAUGCUCAUUGUGUCUCGUUGUUCUUUUGCCUCACUUGGGUGCUCACAUUUUAUCUCAUGCAUACAUAUAGGGUUAAACAUUCAUAGGGGUUCUCAACCAUCUCAUUAGGCAAAUUGUACUCACAACAUGCAACAUUACAUUAUUCUCAUUACAUAUACCCUACUAUGCUUGCAACAAUGUAUAUAACAUAUACUCAAUUGAAUGACACACUAGGCAUAGAAGGAAGUUCAACGAGUUUGGAUAGCACCACCCACCUCGUAGGUUCUCAAAGGUGCUCCGACGAUUUUCUUGGGAUUUUUAGACACCCGGUUCGCUACCUGCGAGUUAACGAAGCCAAAUUAGGCUUAUUUGGCCGUAACUUUACAUCGGGUUUUCGUAACGUUAAUCCGAGCACACCAACGCGUCGGAAAUACCCCCAAUUAGGUUUCUAGAGGGUCAAUUGCACUUUAGAACCCUCGCAAGCAAAAGCCCCAAUUUUGGUGCCCUAGCUCAUAACAUACAUCAAACCUAGGGUUUGAUCUCAUUGGGAAGCAAAAGAAGCUUCAUUCUACGCUAAAGACUCCACAAAAACCAUCUUUAGUUCAAUCCAAACCCUAGUUUGGAUUCUACCAUGAGAGGGGUUGAAGCUCUCCUUCAAGCUUCACCUUCCACACCAUUCCAUGGUUUUGAUCUCAAAAUGAAGCAAAAGAUAGCUUCAAACACUCUAUAGGUUCUAUUAAAACCAUUUCUAGGUCCAUCCAAACCCUACUUUGAGCUUUACCACUAUUGGGGUUCAAAGCUUACCUUGUAAGCUUUCCUUUUCCAAGCUAGGGAAGGAGAGGAGGGGUCUUCUUCUCUUCCUUGCCUUCUUCUUCACCUUCUUCCUCUUCUUUUCCUUUCUUCUUCUUGUCUUCUUCUUCUCCUUCUUGUCUUCUAGAGAGAGAAAGAGAGAUGAGAGGGGGAGUGUGAGGGAGAGAAUGAGAUGAAAAGCCCUCAAAGCCCCCCACUUAACCAUUGGGUUGCACAAAUGCAAAUAGGCCCCUCAACUUUCACUUUAUUGAACUGCUUGAACUGGGCAGUUUUCGGGUUCGGGGACCGGUCUCCCAACUUGGGACCGGUCCCAGAGAGCUCUCCCGCAGCUCAGUGAGGGCCUUCGCACGAGGCAACCGGUCUCUCCCACAGAGACCGGUCUCUCGGGGACCGGUCUCUCCCCGCAGGGACCGGUUCCCGAGAGCUGGUUUUCUGGGACUUAGCCGAUUUGCAGCCUUUCUCAUUUCUCACGCGUUCGGGGACCGAUCUCUACCACCAGGGACCGGUCCCCGAGAGCUCAAAAACUGUAGUUUGCAGAUUUUUGAUUCUUUAGCUCUCGAAAACCUCCCACAACGCAUUUUUGAUCAUUUUAACACCUUCGGACUUUCCGAAGUGUACCACCCUCGCACUUUGGUCAAUUUGACUAAAGUUCGAUAUUUAUUUUUCAAAUUUUCGGUAUAUUACAUUCUCCACCCUUAAAAUAAUUUCGUCCGCGAAAUUACGCAUACCUUAACUCGUCGAUUCAAAUAGAUGUGGAUACUCUCUCCGCAUGAUCUCCUCGAGCUCCUAAGUGGCUUCUCGCGCCGCAUGGUUGCUCCAUUGGACCUUCACAUAUGGAAUUCUGCGACUCCGCAGCUUCCUUUCUUCUCGAUCGAGGAUGCACACCGGGUACUCCUCGUAAGACAUAUCUUCACGUAGCUCCACGGGCUCGUACUCCAAUAUAUGUGUCGAGUUUCGAAUAUACUUUCGGAGAUUUGACACAUGAAAAAUAUUGUGAACUCCUGCGAGUCUCGAUGGUAGUGCGAGCUUGUAUGCUACCGCACCCACACGCUCCAAUAUCUCAAACGGUCCGACAUAACAGGGACUUAGCUUCUCGUGGACCCCAAACCGCUUUACUCCUCGCAUCGGCGAUACUCUCAAAAAUACGCGGUCUCCAACCGCGAACUCUAAAUCUUUUCUUCUCUUGUCGGCAUAACUCUUUUGCCGAGAUUGUGCCGCCGCUAACCGUUGACGGGCAAGGCGAACUGUAAUGCAUUGGAAAAUUGACCUUGAGCUAAUUGUAAUCAAGUUGAUCACAAUGAUGUCAAAAUAGAAAUUAAGUGUUAAUGAACUUAAUUAGUAGAUUGAGAACAACAAUUGACUUAUUUUGGAACUGUGUAAGUGGGCUCGAAGUGAAUCGGAAGUGCCAAGUGUCACGCCCCGCCCCGAAACCACUACCAAUUUGGCACGGUUCGGUCGCGGCGACAGACCGCCGAACGGACAGCACCUCCCCUGUCCACCCAAGGCUCAACAACAGGAAUGUGUACAAGGAUUUACCCAGGACUUUAAAUUCUAAACAUACACAUUCAACGAGGGCACAAACAGUGCCAACAACGAGAAGAGCAAGUAAUCCACAAGAUAUAGUAUGUGAAAUAAAGAGAGUACUUUACUAACUAUUACAAUAGUUACAUUCUUUACAUUUACAUCAUUCUCCAAAAUGAAUACAUUUGAUCCUCAAAAUACAUAGCUCUCCAACCUCACCAUCAUGAAUCUCUCUCAAUACAUAGGUGUGCUAAUGCAAAAAGGGAAGCUACUAUACUACCACGGUCUCACUGAUCGGGCGCGAUGCCCUUGCCGCGGUCCUCUCUCGGCAACCCUGUACCUACCACUGGAAAUGGGAUGGGGUGAGAACUAUAUUCCAUAGAUUCCCAGUGGUCGGCCGCCGACUCUGCUGAUUCUCCCACUAGUGUCAAGUUGGGCAUCAGAGCAACAAACAGGUAGAUAGAUAGAUAGAUAUCUGAAAGUUUGUAAUAUGCAAGUUAGUAGCGAAAACUAUGCUUACAUAUGCCCAUAAUCAUGUAAUGUGGAUGCACUGCAUCUAAUAAAUAAGUUUUUACCAGGGCUAACAGAUGUCAUAUCCAUGUUCGAAUAGCUUAGUGUUCAAUGACAUUUAUUAACAACCUUAACUCUUUAUUUACCCAAUCUGUGGCGAGGCCUUAGGGCUGGCCAAUUACUCAGUCUUCAAAUCCCAAAGUGUGGGAAGUGGAGCUCCAAGUGACACCAGCCCGGGACCGUCUGGGGACUCAUUGGUCCGGACCUCCAAGUGGUCCUAGUUCGCGGUGACACUCGCGGACACUCGACGACAAUCCCUCCUAUGUGGGGAAUUGGAUGGCUAUACACCCUAACGCGACUGUGAGCCUAAUCUAUCCUCGAGUGAGGGAUACACUUGACAACUAGGUCAACACCAAGUCGCAGAUCUCUCAAGUAAUGGAGGCUCUACAACAGCUAGCGCUCACAUAAUCCAACUCGAAUCCUCUCCAAGUGAGGAAGCACUCUAUAACUAGAGUCAACAUCUCUCGCGGGAUCAUUUGUUCCCGACAUCCAUGCAAUGCUAUUUAGUUUUCUAAAUUCAUUGUUCACAAGGCAUUUUCUAAGGGAUCCACCUAUCCCUAGGUCCAUCGACCUCUAGUGUCAUUUACACUACAUUAAUGCCACUCGUCAUCAUUUAACAUUUGGAUGCCACUCGUGUGUUCUUUAACACUAAACACUACUUUCUAUGUCAUCAAUACCCCCAUCGGGUUCACCUCUUUUCUUUUACAUCAUAGGAUCCACGUUCCGACCCAAUCCUCACCUAUCUAAGUUACCAAGCGUUCCAAGUACACUAGGUUAUCAUUUAGAAAGCAUAAGGAAUGGAGCUACUAUGCAAUCCUACAAUGCAACAUGAAGAGAUGAGAUCAAAUGCAAUCUAAGACAUAGAAAGGAGUUCGAAAGCUUCGGGAUGACACCCCCCACCUUUUACCAACGUAGAGGUUUUAGAAGCGCUCCUCGACGAGCUUUACGAAAAGGCUUUUGCCUUCCCUAAUCCAAGAUAGCGCCGAAACGACCGUAAUUCGCCGAUUGUUCUAAGUCCGCUCGACGAAUCGCGAAAUCGACUUCGCCCCCGCGUUUGGGCACCUAUCGAUGAGGUUUACAAGGCCUCAAAUGAGAUCAAUCUCAUACUUUACAAAAUGCCCCCAUUUGGAGCCCUAGGUUUGCACAUAUAGCAAACCACCAAUAAAAUCCUAGAUUCUUGGGAUUGAUCUACUUAGAAGCAUGCUUGGGGUCCAUUUGACCCAUUCCAAAGCAUAAAAACCCAAAGCCCUAAGUUUACAAAGUAGGGUUUAGUAGCUUACCUCAAGAGCUACACCAAUGGGAAGAGGAGAGGGAGAUGGAGGUGCUCCAAGCCUUCCUCUUGAUCUCCUUCUUUUUCUCCUUCCUUAUCUUCUUCCUCUUUUCCUUCCUCUCCUUCUUGUUCUCCUUCUCCUUCUUUCCUUUCUAGAGAGAGAGGGAGAGAAAUAGAGAGAUGAGAGUGAGAGAGAGGAAUGAGAGAGUGUGAGGGAGAGAGAGGGCCCAGCCCACUCUAAUAAAGGCCAUUUUGCAUUUAGACCCCUCAACUUUUAACCCCUUGCGCAGCCCUCGCUGGGCAGUUUUCGUGCAGAGGGACCGGUCUCCCCGACUUGGGACCGGUCCCCGAGAGCUUCCCUCGGGCGCACGCGUUCGGGUACCGGUCUCUCCCCGGGAGACCGGUCCUCGGGAGACAGGUCCUCGCCUGAGAGACCGGUCCCCGAGAGCUCAAUUUUCAGGACUUAGCCAAAUCUCGGCAUUUCUCGCUGGAACCACGUUCGGGAACCGGUCCCUCACUGCCAGGGACCGGUUGCACCAUGCAACCCCGCACGCCCAGCCGAUGGGACCGGUCUCUCACCUCCAGAGACCGGUCCCCGAGAGCAACUUCAGCCCAAUAAUGCUGUUUGCAUCGUUAGCUCUCGUGGACUCAACUCCAAAGCACUUUUUGUGUUUUGGACAUUUUUAACUUCCCCAGAGGGUAUUCUCUCAACAAAUAGUCGAUCCUGGACGAAGUAUAACUCUCGAAUUUCGAGAAUUCACUUCCUUACAUUCUCCCCUCCUUAAAAGGAGUUUCGUCCUCGAAACGAACAAAUUCUUUAACUUUUAAUUUAAACUUAUACCUCACUCCUCAAACAGAUGAGGAUGGUGCUUUCUCAUCAGAUCCUCGAGUUCCCAGGUGGCCUCGCGAUCAUCAUGAUUGCUCCACCUGACCUUUACAUAGGGAAUUUCUCGAUUCCUCAACUUUCGCACCUCUCGGGCGAUAAUUCCUACCGGAAACUCUUCAUAGCUCAAGUCUCCUUGAAGUUCCGGCGGUUCAUAUAGCAUCGCAUGCUCCGGGUCGUGAAUAUACUUGCGGAGAUUGGAGACAUGGAACACAUUGUGCACAUCCGCAAGUUUCGGCGGUAAAGCAAGCCGAUACGCCACCGUACCAACUCGCUCCAAUAUCUCAUAUGGCCCAAUGUACCGGGGACUCAGUUUUCCCCGUACUCCAAACCGCUUCACACCACGCAUUGGUGAAACCUUCAGAAAUACGCGGUAACCCACCGCGAACUCUAUAUCUCGUCGGCGCCUAUCUGCAUAGCUUUGCUACCUCGACUGCGCCGUGAGCAAUCUCUUGCGAGCAAGGCGGACUUUCUCCUCCGCUUCUCGCAACACAUCAGGGCCGAACUCUGCCCGUUCACCUACAUCGCUCCAAUGUAUAGGAGACCGACACGUCCGCCCAUAAAGAGCUUCGAACGGUGCCAUCUCUAUACUCGCAUGAUAACUGUUAUUGUAGGCGAACUCGGCCAUAGGUAGGUGAUCACACCAACUUCCCUUAUAGUCGAUGACACACGCUCGCAACAUAUCCUCCAGAGUUUGAAUGGUUCUCUCUGUUUGCCCAUCGGUUUGAGGAUGAAAUGCGGUACUAAAAUCGAGCCGUGUGCCAAGGGCUUCUUGCAGGCUUUUCCAAAAGUGUGAAGUGAACCGGGGGUCACGAUCCGACACGAUCGAUUUCGGCACCCCAUGCAGUCUCACUAUCUCGUCAAGAUAUACCCGCGCUAACUUGUCACCCGACCACGUGGUGUGGAUCGGCAAGAAGUGAGCCGACUUCGUCAAUCGGUCCACAAUUACCCAAAUUGCAUCGUGGCCGCCCGUUGAGCGAGGCAAGCUGACCACGAAGUCCAUCGAUAUAUCUUCCCAUUUCCAAACGGGGAUUGGUAGGCUUUGAAGCUUUCCCGCUGGAAAUCUACGCUCUGCCUUCACUUGCUGGCAUGUUAAGCACUUCGCCACAAAGCGUCCAACAUCACCCUUCAUUCCCGGCCACCAAUAGUGCAUUUUUAGUCCUUGAUACAUCUUGGUGCCGCCCGGGUGAUCAGCAUACGGAGAUCUGUGUGCUUCUUGUAGAAUCAACUCGCGAAGCUCUCCAUCCUUCGGCACACACCAUCGGUUUCUAAACCGAAGCGCACCAUCGGCGUUUAUACUAAAAUCGCCGCCUCGACCAUCCUCGAUGUUUCGCCGCACCUUCUGGAGUUCUGGGUCCGCAGGUUGCAGAUCUUUAAUCCUCUCCAACAAGGUCGGUUGGACAACGAGUGCCAUCAACUGGGCUGGAAUCUCGGGAGGAACCACUUCAAGGUCCAAUCGCUUCAUAUCCAGCCACAGGGGUGUUUGCUGGGUAACAUCAAAAGCGAGAUUCUUCGCCGACUUUCUACUCAGCGCAUCCGCAACCACAUUUGCCUUCCCGGGGUGGUAGAGGAUAUCGACAUCAUAAUCCUUUAACAACUCCAACCACCGCCGCUGACGCAUAUUGAGCUCCUUCUGAGUAAACAAGUACCUUAAGCUCUUGUGGUCGGUAUAAAUCUCACAAUGGGCACCAUAUAAGUAGUGCCUCCACAGCUUCAGGGCGAAAAUUACCGCCGCCAGCUCCAAGUCGUGGAUGGGGUAAUUCUUCUCAUAGCUCUUCAGCUGACGGGAUGCAUAAGCAAUCACCUUCCUGUUUUGCAUCAAUACACACCCCAACCCAAGAUAGGAAGCAUCACUGUAGACUACGAAGUCUUCGCCUUCCACCGGUAGAGCGAGCACCGGAGUUGAAGUCAAUCUUUGCUUCAACUCUUUGAAACUUCGGUCGCACUCCUCGCUCCAAACAAACUUGGUGCCUUUCUGGGUCAGGCGGGUAAGUGGAAUUACUAUCUUGGAGAAGCCUUCCACAAACCGCCUAUAAUAGCCCGCCAAGCCCACGAAGCUUCGAACCUCCGUGACGUUCGUCGGGCGCGGCCAAUCCUUGAUUGCCUCAACUUUCCUCGGGUCUACUGAAACUCCACCCGCGGAAAUCACAUGCCCUAAGAAGGCGACUUCGCGAAGCCAGAAGUCACACUUCUUUAGCUUAGCAUAUAGCUUCUCCUCCCGAAGGACUUGAAGCAGUUUCCUCAAAUGUUCGGCAUGUUCCUCGUCACUUCGAGAAUAGACCAAUAUGUCGUCUAUAAAGACCACGACAAAUUGGUCCAGAUACUCUCUGAAGACACGGUUCAUCAAAUCCAUAAACGCCGCUGGAGCAUUCGUGAGUCCAAAUGGCAUAACCGUGAACUCGUAGUGUCCAUACCGCGUACGAAACGCGGUCCUUUGCACAUCCUCCGGUUUGAUCUUCAAUUGAUGGUAGCCGGAUUACAAGUCUAUUUUCGAGUACACACACGACCCUUGCAACUGAUCGAACAGGUCAUCGAUUCAGGGUAGUGGGUACUUGUUCUUGAUCGUGACUCUAUUCAAUUCUCGAUAAUCCACGCAGAGCCUAAACGAUCCAUCCUUCUUCCUCACGAAUAACACCGGGGCUCCCCACGGUGAUACACUCGGCCGGAUAAAUUGCUUGUCAAGGAGGUCUUGUAGUUGACUCCUCAACUCCCUUAGUUCCGCCGGCGCCAUUCGGUACGGAGCCUUCGAGAUCGGCGCGGUACCGGGAACCAAGUCUAUGACGAACUCGAUCUCCCGAUCCGGUGGUAUCCCCAGCAACUCUGCGGGAAACACAUCCGGGAACUCCCGCACUACCGAGAUCUCCUCCAACAUUGGAGUGACUCGUUCCACCUCUACAACGGUCGCCAAGAACGCUGCACAACCGUUGCUCACCAACUUUCUUGCUCUCGUCGCCGACACCGUCGCGACGAAACACGUGCUCUGGCAAGCUCGAUAGGUGAAUUCUUUCUGUCCUGGCCCACGAAACGUGAUCACCCUGCUCUUGCAGUCAAUCGUGGCGUGGUAUUUCGAGAGCCAGUCCAUACCCAGAAUAACAUCAUAAGCCUCAAGCUUCUGGAGUCCUAGUGUCCGAAUAGGCAUUAUCCAUUCGCCUAUUUGUACCGGACACGAGGCGCACUCUGUGUAGGUAUUGAAUGUCGAUCCAGGGCCCUCCACUCGCCACUUGUCACUCGCUUCUAUAUGUAUGCCAUGCAUGCGUGCGAAUGAUCUACUUAUGAAUGAAUGCGUGGCUCCUGUAUCAAAUAGAGCCCUGGAGCGAACUCCGUUAAUCAAAACCAUACCUGCCACAAGGCGAUGCUCCUCCGCCUCCGCAGGUUCCUCGGCCUGAACCUGAGCUGCAAAUACCCGUCCGCUCGGGGCCGAUCGCGCCAUCUCAGGUUGACGCGGUGUCAUCGCGCGUCCUGUCGACGCGGCCGUCGGUGGAGCUCCUCCAUAAUAUGCCGGAAUCGCCGGCGCCGAUGCAAUCGAUGGGGCAGGUGAGGCUCCUCCUCCCGGGCAGUCCCGAAUGAAGUGCCCCGGUUGCCCACACUUGUAGCACUUGCCCCGGCCUUGUUCACAGCGCGAAACUGGGUGGUCUCCGCAGCAUACAAUGCAUCGCCGCGCUCCACCGUUUUUCUGUUGAGCGCGCGGGUACUUCGGGGGUCUCUUAUAACGUGCUUGACCACCCGAACUACCGCCGCCUUGGCGUUUCUUGCCCUUAUCCUUGGACUCCGCCAAAAGCUCACGCUUCUCCCGCACGUGGGCAUCUCCGUGCUCCGCCCAUAGGGCUCGAUCAAAGACCUCAGCAAAGGUCGUGAGCUUGAGUAUUUGCACGGCCUUGUAGAUUCCCGGCCGAAGUCCUCGCAAGAACCACUCGGCCCGGUCCCGGUCAUCCUUUACAACAUCCGGGACACAAUCUAUGAUGUGGGAGAAUUCCUGUUCAUACUCCGCCACUGGGCGGUCCCCUUGCUCUAGCUUGCCGAACUUCUCCUUGAGCUUCCGCUUCAAUGUAUCGGGGAAGUAGUUGGCGAACAUCUCCCGCUUGAAUUCCUCCCACAGCAUCGGCGGAAGGCCGGGAAGCCGAUCCCACUUGACGCGCUUCCACCAAACCUUUGCCGCCCUUUCCAAGCAAUGGGUGGCGAG
rnacentral:lncRNA from 1 species